rnacentral:lncRNA from 1 species
UCCUCCCUCCCCUACCCUGAACCCCCCCCCCCCGAUUGGAUCUCACUUCGUGGAGCUCUUUCUCCCCGUUGGUGUGGAAAGACUGCUUCACUUCUUCUUCCUCCUCCAAAGCCAUGAAUCCCGGUAACAAAAGCUCCUCUCUUCUUCUAUUUGGUUGUUCUUCGUGUUCUAGGGUUAGGAGCAUUGGGGAUUGGAUUCAUCUUGUUGAUCCUAUGGUUAGUUAUUGGAUGGCAUGAAGGAAAUUUUUGAGGGGAGUAUAGGUCCAAUGGUUGUUGUUAUGAUUGCUGCCAUGGUUUAGGAUUUCACCGUCUUAGAUUGAAUAUUUGAACUUUUGGAUUAGAUCUGAAACGUGCUCUCUCUUGCCUAGGCAUGUUUGCACCUCGUAUUACUAUGUGUUCCUCUUGUCAUUAGGGCUGGGGUGUACGCCUUAAUGUUCAUAUUCAGUCCAUGCCCUCGAAAACAAGUUUUACAUGUGUAGAUCUGAAAGUCAAACCCCCAGCGGUACUACCGCCAGGGGUAGCGGUACUACCGCUAUGACCCCCAGCGGUACUACCGCCAGGGGUAGCGGUACUACCGCCAGGCCCCAGCGGUACUACCGCCGGGGGUGGCGGUACUACCGCCAGAAGCAUUCACGGUGUAUUUCUCUUUUGCUUAGCAAUGCAUGUUUUCGUUUUCUGCUCUUUCAAGAUCCAUUGCCUUGACUUUUCCUGUCGCCUCUUUUUCGCUUUGUGGUCUGUGUCACAGGUGGCUCUGCUCGCCGUUCGAACCCCCCACGGGACACGGCAUCCAAACAGUUUCGCAACACAGAGGUGCCCGAGGGGUCUGCCACGUCUGGUCUCCCCCCAAAGAAGAAGUCCUUCAAGAAGGUCGCUCACAAGGACAAAAGGGUGAAUAUCCGCACAAUGUCUCCGAAGGAUUUUCUGCAAUUUCGCACCAAGAACCACUAUCUCGAGGAGAGGGAGAAGAUCGAUGGUGUUGAAAAUGUCUGGGUUAAGGACCAUUGCAGGAUAUAUCGAGAUGUCAUUGCAAACUUCAAGAAGAACUAUGUCUCUGUCCAGUGGAUUGAUCUGGCACACCUUCAGCGGCACACAGAGUACUUUGGUGAUGCCCUUGCUUUGAUUGACAAGAUGGGCCUCAAAAACAUCAUCACCUUCAGGACGGAUUUUGAUCCUACGGCAGUUGCUCAGUUCUAUGUCACAGUUCACUUCUCCCAUGAUGAACAGCGCUCCAUGAUAUGGAUGACUGGGUCAAAGAAGAUGACUGGUUCCUGGACAGAGUUCAUGCAGUUCCUGCACGUUGAUUUUCAGGGUGCUGACACCCCUCUUGGGCUGCGUCCUCACGCUCCAGUCCCCUCUGAUAAGGGCCUCGCAAAGGACAGACUGCAGACACUAUAUCUGAGGAAGGGGGUGCUUCCCAAGCACACCUAGACAUCAUGCACCGCAUCUUUCGGAACACCCUCUUCCCUCGGAGUGGUAACUUCGAUGAGGUCCAUGGCUCCUUGGCUGAGAUGUUGUUACUGUGUGAGGAGGCUAUGUCUGUGGAGUCUGCUCAACUAGAUAUUGCAGAUGUGAUGUUCACAGAACUAUGGAACUGCAUCAUCAACCGUAAGGUCCCUAUCUACGGGCCUUACCUGUUUGCAUACAUCUGCCAUAAGUGGCAACAGGCGUUCCCAGAUGAGGUGCUCUACGCGCAGUCUGACUACAUUGUGCAUGACCCAAUCAAGCUGCGCGUCAAGGACAGGUGGGCCAACCCAUCUUCAUCUUCUCAGCACAUGGACACUGAUAUAGAGACGGCUGCUGGUAGAGGACCUGCCUCUCAGUCCCGCUCGUCUGCCAUGCCAUCUUGGGCUAUCAAGUUGCAGGACAAGAUGAAGACUCUCUUCUGUAUGCAGGCCAAGGGUCAGUAUCAGACACACGUGGCUCAGAAGCAGAGCCGCCAGAGGCAUAAGCGUGUUCUCAGGACCUUGGAUGUGGACAUCUCCAGUGGCUCAGAGGACGACAUCACGCCUGAGGCUACUUGGAUGCAGGCUCAGGGGUACCAGUGGUCGGGUGAUGAGGCGCAAGAGGAGGAGGAGACUGACCAGGAGGGGACCGACGAGUCUGGUGAUCCUGAAGACGAGGAGUAGCUACCUGUGACAUUAGGUGUGCCCCCUUUUUGGUGUCUUGUGCCAAAGGGGGAGAGAGUCUAGGGAUUUGAUUUCAUUCGAACUUUGCAUUGCUUUGCUUUAUCUCGUUUGAUUUGCUUUGAACUUGGUUUGCUUCGUUUGCUAUCUUGUGUGAGACAUGAUCUUUCUUAUGUGAGAUUAUAUUUAUUUCCAUCAUAUGCUGUGAGUCAUAUGUCAUAUAUCUCUAUCUUCUUUACUCUCAUAUUAUUAUCCAUGCAAAUCCGGUAUUGUCAUCAAUCCACCAAAAAGGGGGAGAUUGUUGAGGCAUAAUUUAUGCGUAAGUAAUUUUGGUGAUUGAUGACAGUUCCGUACAGGACUAAUCGUGUGUGUCAAGGUUUCAGGCAACACUCGUCAACGGCACAAGACGACACGACUCCUCUCUUCUGGAACGGAAGCAUGGCGCCCUCCUAGAUUCUCUUUAUUUCAGUCAUAGGAAAGCCGUACUAUUAAGAGGGGAUCCGUAGGGGAAAGGUUUUGGGUGGAAUCUAUCUUUGCACACGCACACCUCUUCUUCUCCCUCUCCUUUAUCUUUGGAGCGGCCCUCGCCGUUUUGUUCUUUGCUUCUCUGCAAAAUGGUCCCCAGCGGUAGUACCNNNNNNNNNNNNNNNNNNNNNNNNNNNNNNNNNNNNNNNNNNNNNNNNNNNNNNNNNNNNNNNNNNNNNNNNNNNNNNNNNNNNNNNNNNNNNNNNNNNNNNNNNNNNNNNNNNNNNNNNNNNNNNNNNNNNNNNNNNNNNNNNNNNNNNNNNNNNNNNNNNNNNNNNNNNNNNNNNNNNNNNNNNNNNNNNNNNNNNNNNNNNNNNNNNNNNNNNNNNNNNNNNNNNNNNNNNNNNNNNNNNNNNNNNNNNNNNNNNNNNNNNNNNNNNNNNNNNNNNNNNNNNNNNNNNNNNNNNNNNNNNNNNNNNNNNNNNNNNNNNNNNNNNNNNNNNNNNNNNNNNNNNNNNNNNNNNNNNNNNNNNNNNNNNNNNNNNNNNNNNNNNNNNNNNNNNNNNNNNNNNNNNNNNNNNNNNNNNNNNNNNNNNNNNNNNNNNNNNNNNNNNNNNNNNNNNNNNNNNNNNNNNNNNNNNNNNNNNNNNNNNNNNNNNNNNNNNNNNNNNNNNNNNNNNNNNNNNNNNNNNNNNNNNNNNNNNNNNNNNNNNNNNNNNNNNNNNNNNNNNNNNNNNNNNNNNNNNNNNNNNNNNNNNNNNNNNNNNNNNNNNNNNNNNNNNNNNNNNNNNNNNNNNNNNNNNNNNNNNNNNNNNNNNNNNNNNNNNNNNNNNNNNNNNNNNGUAUGUCAUUCCCUUUGUCCUUCGGUAUGUUACUUGCCCGAGAUUCGAUCGUCAGUAUCCGCAUACCUAUUUCAAUAUCGUUUACCGGCAAGUCUCUUUACUCGUUCCGUAAUACAAGAUCCCGCAACUUACACUAAGUCACAUUGCUUGCAAGGCUUAUGUGUGAUGUUGUAUUACCGAGUGGGCCCCGAGAUACCUCUCCGUCACACGGAGUGACAAAUCCCAGUCUUGAUCCGUACUAACUCAACGAACACCUUCGGAGAUACCUGUAGAGCAUCUUUAUAGUCACCCAGUUACGUUGCGACGUUUGAUACACACAAAGUAUUUCUCCGGUGUUAGUGAGUUAUAUGAUCUCAUGGUCAUAGGAACAAAUACUUGACACGCAGAAAACAGUAGCAACAAAAUGACACGAUCAACAUGCUACGUCUAUUAGUUUGGGUCUAGUCCAUCACGUGAUUCUCCUAAUGACGUGAUCCAGUUAUCAAGCAACAACACCUUGUUCAUAAUCAGAAGACACUGACUAUCUUUGAUCAACUCGCUAGCCAACUAGAGGCUUGCUAGGGACAGUGUUUUUAUGUAUCCACACUUGUAAAUGAGUCUUCAUUCAAUACAAUUAUAGCAUGGAUAAUAAACGAUUAUCUUGAUACAGGAAUUAUAAUAAUAACUAUAUUUAUUAUUGCCUCCAGGGCAUAAUUCCAACAGUUUAAGCAUAUUCAUCGGCAAGUUAAUGUAGCUAUUCAUUUGUUAACUAAGCAUUGUAAGAAUUUAUCUAGCCUUAUUGUUUCUCAUUGUGCUCCCGCUUGUAUCCGGAACACUCUUUGUAACUUUGUUAAGUGAUCGAUAAAGUUGAUGUUUAAAAAAAAAGAACUAUGGCUUCGUACAUACAACCUCUUGUGCAUUGUACAUUUCCCCUUUAAUUUAAUUUUUUGUUUGAAGAACACGGUACAGACACAGACGGACAUAUAUAGGCGCAUAUACUCAUCCCUAUAAAUACACGUGCGCAUUGUUACCCCUAUGAACAUUUUCAAAAGAUUAGGCCAGUGCAUUAUUUUAAGAUUGACAAAUUCAUCACAAAGGCCUUCCUAGUUGAAGGGGGCAUCUCUUUUCAUUGAGCGCACGUCAUUAAACAAAAAUGCGAACAACAAUAUUAUGGCUUGGGACGUAACCUGUGGUGGAGAGGGGAUGAUUCGAUCGAUCCCAUGUUCGUUGCCGCCCCCCGCAAAAGAAAAUAUCGGUGCCGAGUCGUUGGCGUAAGUACCACGAGGGGGAAACACCACCGCCUCGGAGUCCCUACCACUUUUCUACUCCUCCAACACGCCAAUCGACGGACCGACCACGACCAGUCUCUCUCUCUCUCCCCCGUCCGAACUCGGUCUAGCCAGGACCCCACGUCCACCGCUUACCCGUGCGCCCCGCUCACGAAACUCCCGGACGAUGCCUACAUAUACGGAAGAAAAAAAAGAAGAGGACCCGAUUUCGCCCCGCACUUCCUCCUCUCCAAAUCCCUCUCCGCCUCCGUCCGAUCCUGCUCACCCCCGCCCGCGGCAGACUCCCGGCGGCACCCCUCCUAUACAUAGGCGGCGCCCUCCUCUCCCCGGAGCCGCUAUAUUUUCCGCGAGCCCAUUCUGCCCCGUGCGCCCGCCCGCGCCACCCCCACCACCAUCCGUUAUCGGUUGUUGCGCCGCGCCUUCGGUGCCGAGGAGAGAGAGAGGGGUGGCCAGGAGGAGGAGGAGCAGCGGCCUCCGCGCGCCACCGGCGAGGGAUAGGGAGGGAGGUUGGUUGAUAGGGAGGGAGGGAGGGAGGAGAUGAUGGCGUUCAGGGGGCAGAGGCCGGCGCAGUCGGAGCAGAUGUGCGACGCGGCGGCGGCCGUGGUGGCGGCGCGGCAGGGCAUGGAGCAGCCGCUCACGGCCGUGGCCGAGGCGUUCGAGGAGCUGGCGCGCGGGAUGGAGGCCGACGGCGGGGAGCUCCGCCUCGCCCCCUUCGGCGACACCUGCGCCCUCGUCUCCGUCCUCUUCAACUCCCUCGGCAUCGCCUUCAAGUUCGCCGAGAGCGAGUACGUCACCAAGGUACACACCCCAAUCCCAAUCCCAAUCCCAUCUCGCCAUUCCUCCAUCCCUUUCAUUCUUCUUGCAGACCAAGCCUCGCCCAUCUCGCCAUGGCGUCUUUUAUUUAGAAACAAUCGACGAUCGUAACCACAGAAUCGGGAAGCUUUUAGGAUUCCCAAACAAGAUUGUGUGCAAGAAAGAAAUGGAACCGGCGAUCGUUUCUAUUCUAGUUUCGUUUUUGUUUGGUCACGACCGCGACCUGUGGUGGAAGGAAAGAAAGAAAUGUAAGCCAACUUUGCCCAGGUGAACGACCUCAUCGGGGCAUCGAGGGAGUACGCGACGCUCAACGACAUCCUGGACAAGGACGUGGAGAACGACUCGGUCAAGAAGCAGGGCAGCCAUUCCCGGAACCUGCGCAGGGUCCGGCUCGGCCUCGGCCUCAUCAAGGCCCUCUUCGAGCAGUUCCUCGCAACCGAGUACGUUUCCCCACUCAUUCACCCACUCACUCACUCACUCAUUCGUUCGUUCCAGCAUAGCGCAAAUUUGUCUCUUGCUCUCCCCCGCUGGCACCACCAGCAGCGGCGGCAAAUGCUUUGUGCAGCAAUCAAUGGCGGUUUGGUUCAUCAUCAUCAGUUUUGUGCUAAUAAAAUCAUCCUUGAUUCCGCAAACGGACGGACGACAGCUUACACUCUCUCUGGCGUCUGGUUUUUCAGGGGCGGCUCGUUGUAUGAUGCCGCGACGACGGCCUACGGCCAGGUCUGCGCCCCGUUCCAUAGCUGGGCAAUCCGGAAGGCGGUUGGUGCCGGGAUGUACACUCUCCCCAGCAGAGAACAGUUGAUAAUGAGGCUCAACGAAACUGGUAAGCCAACGAUUUGACACCCAUCGCCGUCAGGAUAUACCUACCUUAAAAACUUAUUCAGUGAUACUCAAUGCUUCCAUCAAGAUGAUCUCCACAUUGACAGACCAAUAACAAAAUCAUGUCGCGUGCCUUAACUUAUUUAUCAAUAAUGAUGAAAUGAUGUGUGCUUGCAGAUUGCUCUGUGCAGAAGGAGAUGAGGAGAUACAUCGACGCUUCUAGUCCGAUUAUAGUGUACAUCGAUAACCUGUUCCUGUCUAGGAACAUUGUCCUAGAUUGGUGAACUGAAUCGGGGAUCAUGCUUGCGGCUCUCCUCACGAGCUGUUAUUGAUGUCAUUGUUUUAUUUUUAUUUUCUCAUAGCUUUCUAGCCUUGGUGGGGCGGUGGAUGCUCUCCCUUCGCACUGUCUCUUGUACUGUACGAUUAUAUGAAAAAUCUAAUUCUAAACCAAGAGGCGGUUCUAGUAUGAUCAUGCUAUUCUUAUGCUACCAAUUGCACACCGGGCCAACUUGUUGAUCAUCAGAAAAGAAAUGGGACAGACGGACAGUGGAGUCAUCAAAGAAGAGUAUGUUUUAGUAACAAAUAGUAUAGCCAUGUUAUUGUUGCCUUGGUACUUGGUACAAUAGCUAAUAAGGGCCCGAGACCAUCCCGGACUGGGCAAAUUCGGCUCCGGACUGUUCGUCUGCGGACGUGCCCGGGCACGCUGACGGACCCACAUAUCUCAAAUCCAUGAAAAAUCAUGCACAUCGGUCACAUAAGCCAUUAUCGCACGUAAAUAAUAAAUGUUGAUACUAGACAUGAACAGUGUUUAUAUAAAAUUUAUUACACAAUCAAACAUCAGCUCUUUGUUUUUUAUUAUGGAUCCACAUAUGCUCCACAAGAUAAUUGAGUAGUUGGGCGUGCAUCUUCUAAUACAUCUACAGAAAGUUCAUAAGCUGAGCUGCAUCAUGAUCUUCUGUAAUUUCAGCUUGUUCUUGAGGUGCUUCAAAAUCAUUGGUUUUGGCUACAUCAUCACCCUCAUUCUCACAAUCAUAUUGUGUAAAAUAACACAAUAUGUCAUGAACUGUCACGAAGUUUCUGAUUUCCACAUCAUUAUAGCCCCACGAACAAUUCCCCAAUGAGCUUGAAGCACACCAAAUGCUCUCUCUACAAUAGUUUCCUCCAUUGUUGCAAAGUGGCUCCGGUUUUUUGCCAUGCAGUUCGGAUAUGGUUAUGUGAUGCCAUUGACUCUAUUAUGAUGGUGGCUUCUUUGACGUGAUCUUGAUACAUUCCCCACAAAACUUUAGGACAGUUCUUCCGUUGUCAAUGCAUGCAAUCAAUUGAUCCGACCAUUCCUGGAAACCCUUUGGUCUCUCCAAGCCAACAACUUCUUCAUGUCAUGCGCAUUUGGUUCUCUCAGAUGCUCUACUUCAAACACCUGCACCACAACGCAUGCAAACUUGACAGUAGUCUUCAGGCAUAUGCUCUCCCCCAUCCUAAACCAUCUCAUCAACGACAUCUGCAGCAGUACCAAGUGCAAGCAUUCAUAGAGUAGUCGUGCACUUCUGCUUGGUAGAGAAAGAAAGUUGACCACUGCAAUCCCUGGUGGGCUUGAAGUACUCGAUGUGUGCCUCCACUCCCUCCACAAUAUGCUAAAACAAUGGUUUUCACAUGCGAAAGCGCCGACAAAACCAUGGAUCAUCCGGGGAAGUUGGGUUCAGAGCAAAGUAGUCCUUCCGUAGUAGCUUUGCUCCGCAAACCCUAUCCUGAUUGAUCACUCUUGUCCCUUUGAUUGAGCCCUUGAAAUUGAGAAUAUACUCCACUUGUCGGUCCAUUUCCUCUUGCAUUCUCAUGACCACGAUCAUGUCCACUUCUUCAUCCGAAUCUGAGUAAUCGAAGAACUCAUGUUGAAUCAUUUGAUCAAGCUCCGUCGGUCCAUGCUCCUCGUCAGACGAAGUAUCAUAAUCCAUCAUUUUCCAUAAUAAAAUCACAAAAAAUCCGGUCAAAUAAUGUGUCGAACACAUCAAGCGCAAGCUGGAGCCAGAUAGUUGUUGGACCUACCAUGGUGGCAUUCGGGCCGGCGACGACGUCCCCCGCGGCGAGGACGAGAGAGAGGACUGCUCUGCCGGAGCUGACGACAUAUAGGCUAGGAAUGGCUACGGAGCCCGUGCGGCGGCGGAGCUGUGAGAUGGACGAUCCGGAGGAGGAAGACAGGAGAGAGCAAAUGGAUCUAACAAUUCUAGGGGUGGAUUUGGUGCAAUUUGCGAUAGGGUCAGGUUGUCGGAUCCGACAAGGUGGGCGUGCUCGGGUGCCCCCAUAUCCGCUCCAUAUUUGGAUUGGAUAUGAGGGGUGUCGGUCAGCCCAUACGUUGGAGGUCCGUUUAAGGCGCCCGCCCGGGUCAGAUUUCCAUGACCGGUGAGUGAUCGGGUGGCCCGCCCGGACAUUUGAGGAGGUUUAGGAUGCCUCGCUAUAGAUGCUCUAAUUGUAUAGCAAAGUUCUCAAAAUGCAAGAACAAAAAAUAUAUUGGAGUGAAAACCAAAAUAUGAAUUUGAAUUACAAGGCUUUUGAUGCCAUGGUCCAUAACAAAAAUAACGAAUCAUAGUAGGAGAUGGGGUGUAAAUUUUCUUCGAAAUAUUCUGAUAGGUAGAAAAUCUAUAAAGAAGAAUCCUCAUACUAGAUGAAUGAUUUUCGAAAUAGUACUCUCCAAGGCGGUUAGGUCAAAGCAAAAAAGUCAACUUAUGAAUGAUUCAUUAGUAUUAUUUUGCGAAAAUGAAUGAAUCAUUAAAGGAGACCAAAGUUGGAUACCAAUUUAAUCAAUAAUUAUAUUUAUAUAGGAGGUGAAUAGACUAGUAAGCCAAAAAUGGACUCUUUCCUCUUUUUUCUGGUCAACUUAGAUUUUUUUUAACAAUAUAUCAACCAUCCCACACUUGCAAUUCCGCUAGAGUAUAGUCAAUACAUGCAAAUGAAACUCUGCUAGAGUAUUGUCACGCCUAAGAUGCGACCAUAUCCUCAAUUUGGCACGAAGACCUCGUCAGGGAUAGAAGCGCAUCUCGUCGUGUCGCCAGAAUGGAUAUCGUUACAAGUACAUGUACUGAAAAGAUGAGAUAUAUAAAGAGUUGGCUUACACUCGGCACAAGCUACAUCAGAGUCACAUCAAUACAUUACAUAAUCAUCAAGAGUAAGAGCAGGGUCCAACUACAGACGAAAACAAAUGACAAAAGAAGAACGACGUCCAUCCUUGUUAUCCCAGGCUGCCGGCCUGGAACCCAUCCUGGAUCGAUGAUGAAGAAGAAGAAGAAGCAACUCCAAAUGAACAAUCAACGCGCUCGCGUCAAGUACCCUUUACCUGUACCUGCAACUGGUGUUGUAGUAAUCUGUGAGCCACAGGGGACUCAGCAAUCUCAUUUCCAAAGGUAUCAUGACUAGCAAAGCUUAAUGGGUGAGGCAUGGUAAAGUGGUGAGGUUGCAGCAGCGACUAAGCAUAUAUUUGGUGGCUAACUUACGAUUACCAGAAAUAAGAGGGGGAAGAUCUACGCAUAACGGACGUGAACUACUCGUGAUCAGAAGAAUGAUCCUGAACACCUACCUACGUCAGACAUAACCCCACCGUGUCCUCGAUCGGAGAAGGAACUCACGAAAGGGACAGUCACGGUUACGCACACAGUUGGCAUGUUUUAAUUAAUUAACUUUGAGUUAUCUAGAACCAGUGUUAAACAAAGUUUCCACGUUGCCACAUAACCGCGGGCAUGGCUUUCCGAAAGAUUUAACCCUGCAGGGGGUGCUCCAACUAGUCCAUCACAAAUUACCACAAGCCGCAUAGAAAUCCUCAAUCACGAAGCUCGCGAUCUCGUCGGAUUUCCUAGUGGAAAACCUCCACUCUGAGAUUACCCAAAGCAUCACCGGAAUCCCGAUGCACAAGAUAUCUCGUCAAAGGUAAAACUAAUCCAGCAAGGCCGCCCCGCGUGUCGACGAUCCCGAUAGGAGCCGCGUAUCUCGUUCUCAGGACACGACGGAUGGAACUAGCUACGGGUGCCAAACCUCGAGUUUCCUCGCGGUGGCCCCGCAGGCAGACCGUUUGGGACCAACACCAUCAGCACUGGCCCCCCCUGUUUAUGUAAAAUUACUCCUCUGGUUCAUGACGCCCUAUGCAUUUCAGUGUUAACAAAAUUAUUAUGUUGGGCAAAUGUAGAACCAAUGUUGGGCCUUGCCGGACCAGCUUUAAUCUAAAACGAAUUAUCAAGGGGGUCCCCAUAACAACCCCGAUCGUGUUAGGAGCGCUCAUUUAUGGAACAUAACACCGGUAGCCGAAACUAAGGGGGCAAAGGUGGAACAAAACACCAGGCUAGAAAGGCCGAGCCUUCCACCUUUUACCAAGUAUAUAGGUGCAUUAAAUUAAAUAGCAUUAAUAUGGUGAUAUGACAAGGAACCCAUGUUAUCCAUGGAAGCAUCUGCACCUACAACUAGCAACGCUAACAACAGGGUUAAGCAAGCAGUAACAUAGCCAAACAGUGGUUUGCUAGGUCGAACAGGUUGAGGGUUAUCAUGGCAUUGUUGAGAGGCUAAUAUGGAAACAUGUGGUAGGCAACGAGACAUAAAACGAUAGAAGCAAUAACUAGCAUGGCAAUGAUAGUAAUGGUAUAUGGGGAAAUGAUCAUCUUGCCUGAGAUCCCGUUUGAAAGAAGAACAACUCGGAGAAGUCGACAAACCAACGUAGUCGAACGGGUCCUCACAUUCCAACACGCUUGCGGAACUCUAUCGAGACGGAGGAAACCGGAAACAAACAUCAACACAGAUAUUCACCACGGCAAAUGCAAGACAUGAUGCACACUCUAAUAUGAUGCAUGAUCCGUUCAAAGAUGCAAGGGAUGGCAUGGCAAUUCAUCUCACGCAAACUCUACACAUUAAGUGAAGCUCGAUAUGCAACGGGUUGCAUAUCAACGAAACUCCACGUUUAAUUAUUUAAUUCACUCCUUUAAUUAUCACGGCAAUAUUACAUUGUGGUUAUCAUGGCAAGGGUGAAGCGAUGAUCCUACAAGUCAUCCUAGUCGGUUACCACACGAAACAUAGAUCGGAUCUACGGCACAAAAGACAUGCAACACAAUAUGUUAUGCCAUGAAUGCAUUAUGCAUGCUAGUUCAAACAUCACGGGCAAGAAGAGAAAUAAGCAUGGUGUCGCCAUGGCGAGCGAGAGGAAACCAUGGCGGCAAAUCGGAAACGAUGCCACGGCAAUGUUCCGGUCCCGAUAACUCGAGGAGAAACCGGUGCCAACGUAUACGAACGCGUGCGGGAACGGUAAAUAAUAAUGGGGUGACCCCGUAUCUCGGGUUCCCAUGUGUCGAGGGCUCGACGAAAAGGAAGACGACGUGCACGGGCAAACAACGGUGCAUACAUAUGGUGCAUACAUGCAUUCAACUUGUACAACACAUACAUGCGUACAACACUAGUACACGGUUCACGACAUGUCCCAUCGGUAUACCUUCGACGCGUGCAUAACGGAGGGGUUCGGUCGAAGCGGACGUCGUGGAAGUAGUCGUACACGCGCCGGUAGUUGAAGUAGUGGUACCGGUCUCGUCGACGGUAGUCGUACUCUCGGCGUCGGCAGACGGUCUUCGGCGUCGGUAGUCGUUCACGAAUCCGUAGAUGUCCGGGGUCAUCGGGGCGUCGUGGUACUCGCGGCGAACUUGUCGACGGGCCACAGUGGCGGGGAUGGUGCACGCGGCGACGCAGGCGGCAGCACAAGCAAACAACACGGCAAGCUGGGCAAGCAAGCAACUAAACCUAUCUGGCAGCCACAGCAAUAAGCAGCGGCAGCUAGCGUCAGCCAGGCAAGGCAUCGGGCAACAGCACUACAACUACCUAGCGGCGGCAGGCAAACUUAGCAGCAGCUAAGCUAGCUAGCAAAGCAAGCUAGCAGCCGACUACAACAAGAGCAACAGCUAUACGCAGCACAAGCUACAUCUAGCCUCGGCUAGCAGCAAGCAGGGCAGGCAGCGAUCAAGCAUCAGCUAGCUCGGCCAGCAUCUACAGCAAGGAGCUAGCAAGCAAAGCACACCAAUAGCAACAUCUCGGCAACAGCACAGCAGCAGCAAGACGCUUAGCAACAGCAGGCAGGAGCAGCCCCUGGAGGCGGCGGCCAUGGGGAAGCGAGCCAGCGGCGAGCAACAGCAGCUCGGGAUGAGCAGCGCGACGGCGGGGCACCGGCGCAGGCGCAUGGUGACGGGGCGGCGAGCUCGCGAGGGAGAGGGGCGAGGCGGCGCGGGUUCGGCAGGGCUCGCGGGCAGGCGUAGGGAGGCGAGCACGGGGCUGGACGCAGGGAGCGAGGGCGGCCACGGCGGGGGAACUGCUGCGGGGCGGCGCCGGCGAGGCCUCGGGCCGGCCGGGAGCUGGAGGCGGCGAGCUCGACGGCGUUGCAAGGCAGGAGGCGGCCAGGGACGACAUAGGCCGCCGGGGAGGCGCGGGGCCCCGGGCAGGCGCGACCAUGGCGGCACGCGGAGAAGCGGCCCGGCGACGCGGAGGCGCGGCAGGAGGGGCGCUGGAGGCGAGGGCGCGCGUGAGGUGGAGGACGGCGGCUCGGUCCGACGCGGAGCAGAGAGGAGGCCAGCGCUGGGGCUGCUCGCGGCCAUGACGGCGCUGGGUGAGGAGAGGAUCGGGAGGAGAGUGGGGAGGAGAACGGGAUGAGAGGGAGGCGGGCUGGGCUAGGUCAGCACAGGAGUUGGGCUGCGUCUGGCCGGCUCGGCUGGGCUCCCUCCCCCUGCUAGAUCCCUUUUUUUUAAAACAGAAACUCAACAAACAAAAGAAAAAAAAAACGUUUAAAGCAAAUAGAAAAAAAUAAAGGCCUUUGACUUCUUAAAACCAAAAAUUAUGCCCCAACUAUAAAAUAGAUUGGGCCCCUUUUAACAAAUAAAACUAAAAUCUUUUAAGAAUAAAAUUAAACCCUUUUUUUAUAAAAGAAUAAAAUUAAACCUUUUAACAAAAGAUUAAAAUCAAACCCCUUUUGAAGAAUAAAAUAAAACCUCUUUUUAUUUAGAGAAUAAAAUAAAAGCUUUUAAAAGAGAGAAGAAAAAGAGACGGUUUAACAAUAAAACAAAAGGAAAAAUAAGAUUAAAACCCAAGGGUUACCCCCACAUUUAAUAAAGUGGUUUUACAAGAAGACGCCUUUUUUAGAAGGGUUAAACGGAAGCUUUAGCAAACCGCAAAAACGAAAUAAGAAGGGAGAGAAGGGGAGAAGGUUCACGUCCUCGGGGAGCAGGGGUUUAGCGGUGGCUCUCACGCACGCAUUCUCAUCGCGCCAAUAAACGACGUCACACUCACAAAGCACUCACAAGCAACACCGACAAAUAACACAAUUAACAUGAUGCCAUGCAUGAUGCGAUGAUGCAACUACAUGACGAUGCAACAAACGAAAAAAAUAACCCCACGACGGAAACGGAAAGAAAGGGGGAUCUUCUGGGGCGUCGGCAUCGGGCUGUCACAACUCUCCUACACUACAAGAAGAUCUCGCCCCGAGAUCCAAGAAUGAAAGGGGGGAGAGGAUGAGAAAGAACAAGAGGUAAAAAUUUAGUCGCUUCUUUGACAAACGAGUGAAACCAAUGAUCCUUGAAGGUUGCAAAGAGAUGAGGAAUGAUAUGAGAAAGAAGCAAGAAUUCACGGAAAAUUUCGGCAGCACUUCGGUAGGAAAAUGGGACAAAAAAAUCGAUAAGAAGAGAGAAUUGCACAAUAUUCAUAACAAACAACUAAAUAGAGCAAGGGAACACCAUGAUCUUGGUAGAACAACAAGAUUGACCCAAAAGAGCAACAUCACAAAGCCUCCGGAACAAUAGAAUAGGAACUAGCUCAUACGGAAGAAGAGAAUGAAGAAAAGAAUGACAAAUACUAACUCCAAUGAACUUGACAAGCAUCCUUGCGAGAAGGAUUGGACGGAGUUGUUGGAAAACAACAACGAAAGAACAAGAUAGUAGUGGGCUUAUGAAAGCUUUUCAAACCAAUGAAGUAACAACCAGCCACUAACAGAAACAAGGAUUGAUUGGGAGAAACAAGAUAUGAACAAUUUCUUACACCAAGAGGAUACAUUGAGAACUUGGAUUAAUGACAAGCACCAUGAUAGCAACAAUCCAUAGGAAAAACUUUAGGUGAAUCCAAACCAAGAUAGCUCAAUGAAAAAUCAUGGGUUGGAAAAUGUCUCAUGAUCAUAGAAUUGGUGGGUUUAAUUAUCUCAUUCUUGAAAGGAAAUCUCUUCGAGGCUCCUACACUAACAAGAAGGAUAUAAAACCACCUCAAAGGAUAAAGGAAGAACAAAUGCACUUGGGAAUGCAAGAGAACGGAUACUUGAGAAAAGAAUUGAUAUCAUGAUUCCUUCGGAAGAAGAAUUGAAACCAUUACGAACAAGAAUAAGAACUAUGUUAAGUUUAUCCUUCAUCAAGUUUAAUUGAUGACAAGCAACGGAUUUAGCAUACAACUUAUUCUUCUUGACGGAAUCUUGAAGAGAUAGAGAGAUAAGCACCACUUGAAGCAUAAUUGAAGGAAGCACCGGUAAGAAAUCACAAUUGAAUGGGAACACCACGAAUUAAUGGAGAUAUAUGAGAAUGAAGAGAUCAUGAUCCACCUGAGAGAAAAACUUGAACAAGGCACCUGAGAGACUUUUUAGUUGGGACUAAAAAAAGUCUUAGGACUUUUUAAAGAAACAGGGCCAUAAUAACCAACCCUUAUACGAUGAUCUACACUGAACUAUUGAUAUGAGCUUUUAUGUAAAAUGGUGUCUUAACGUUGGUUUUCAUGUUAUUCGAAAUUGUGCCCAUAAAGAUUUCUUAAAGAGCAUCGACGUUGAUAUGCCAUCUUGAACAUUUGUCAUGCAUGUCCUUAUGUAUUAAUUGUUUCGAUGGAGCUGUCUAAUAUGUUUGCAACCAAAUUAAAUCUUGUCAUGGUUUACAGUUGUAAAAGCAUACAUCGGCAAAAAAAAAAGCUCUAAUGCACCUUCUAUCAUUGAGUACUAAAAUAUACUUUGCUAUUUUCAUCAUAAUAAAAUAUUUUAUUGGGUAUCAUUGAGCGGGAACGACGAAAAGGACGUAAAGAGAUAGCGACAACUAGGUAGAUAUUUGUGUUGCCUAAUAAUUUAGAAAUACCUUGAGCACACUUAAAAAUCAUCCAACCUUAUGUUUUUUGCGCAACACUACUUAUCAUUUUGUUUUUCAUGUGGCAUAGUGAAAGAUUUCAAGAUAUAUGCUGAUGUUGUUGGUGUGUGUACUAGGGAUGAUUUUUUUUCAGAGAUUUGUUGAUGUUGUCAGGUGUGUGUACGAGGGGUGAUUUUUUUUUUUGUUACAACGCAUGGUACAUGUCUUGCUAGUAAUCUGAACAAUGUUACUGUCAGACCACAGUGAGGGUCUGUUUGAGACUGCUCUGCUUCAUUAAAAUCAGUUCUAUUUCACCAAAUCCACUUUAGAGAAGUUUCAUAUAGGAGUUGCAACUAUUUGGAGAAUGUUUGGGACUGCUCUACUUCAGAAAAUUCAGGUCCGCUCUAGAAAACGUAAGCCAAACGGGAUAGCUUCAUGAUAUACCGCUCCGCAGAAAAACUAGAAUCUGGGGUCCAACUUCUUGUUUUUUGUGAAGCUCUCUAGAAGGUGCUUCAUAAAAUUAUAGAAGCUGGAGUUGGAAGAAAAUUACUCACCACUGCCACCAGUAAGUGGAUACCCCUUUAUUUCUUACCUCUCAUCCAAUCAAAUAGAUCAUUUCCAUCAAAUUUUUCGUUCGUGAAGCUGGAGCUAAAUGAGAACGAAACAUUCUCUUGAAAUGAUUGCAACUCCUAUAUGAAACUGUUCUAAAAUGGAUUUGGUGAAGCAAAACUAAUUUUAAUGAAACAGAACGGUCCGAAACAGGCCCUAUGUUUUUUAAAGCGGAGCUGAAUUUUCUGAAAUAAAACAGUCCCAAACAGGCUCUAAGUCAUGACCGGGAAGUUUUUAUUUUUACUUUUAUCGGCGACGGCGCUCUUUCCAUUUCAUAACUUGUGGUGAGUUGGCGAUGCUCCCUUCCCUCAUCAGAGAAGCAGGUAGCAGUGUGCAGUAAGCGACGAUCGAGCUCCUGCUGUGUGCCUCGUUGUGAGGCACCACCGAACGAACAGUCUGGACUGCAAGACCCAACCCGAAUAUGCAGGCGAAGGAUUCCCGUACCCAUUUCCUAUUUCGGCGCCCGGUUGGCGGCAUUUGGCAACUCGCACGUAGGGCCGCGGGCGUAGCAGGCCCAGUGACAACGCUAAAGCCCAACCAACUGGACUACGCUGCCGAUGAGCUGGUGGUAGAAUUCUUCUGCACUGCACAUGAUGUGUAUUAUUGCGUUACAGUACUACUCUUCUUGGGCCUACCUUGGAAUGUAAGCAAAAUGCCAACUCAAACCAGCCAUGAAAAGAAGAAAACAAACGUUGUGAGACGAUGUGUAUGUACUCAGCAUAUCACUUGUGAUCCUCUCUUGUGCCAGGUAAGCUAUUUUUCUCUUCGUUUUUUUAAGUGGAAGGCACCCAAUAAGUUCUUAGUAUCACAAACUAUUGUACCGUACGUACUGUAGAGAUAUCUAAGCUACCCAUAUCAUCGGGCAAAUUGAUAUGUGAAUUCAUAUACGCUGUACGUAGUGUAAUCCCGAGGCAUGUUUUGUUACCUGCAUUGUUUUUAGACAAUUUGCAUUUGUGACUUUCUUGUGUCUGGCUGAAUGAAUACAUGCAAAAACAAAAAGAUCUGCACAUAGUUUGGUAGUAUACAUAUUGGCUCCGUGCAUUAGGGUAGCAACUGCACUCCCCUCAGCCGCAAAAUCUACAUCUCGCUACUAGCGAGUGAUCUUUCUGUCUCGCCUGAAUCUUUCUUCUUCCCUGUUGUAAUUAGGCUGGCCCGUUUGUUAGUUUUAUUUUUGAUCACUCUAUGUUCGACGGUCGCUGGCUAUGGCAAUCUCUAUUUAGCGUCAUAGGUGUUCGUUAACAUGCAUUUUCGCAAACGGGCGUCUGCAGCCCUGCUAGCUGGGCUCGGUCCGUUUCGCUUGCUUCCCGUCCAUAGCUACUUCGCUAGUUUACAAAGCGCAAAAAAGUACGCAAGAGCAAGGGACCAAACCAAGGGUCUUCCGUUUCGUACCGUACUGUGGAAACCACCCCGCCACGGGAAUUUGAUGUGCUAAUGCAAGCAUGUUUUGUAUUAUCAUUUUCUCUUUCUUUUUACUAUUAUCUGUUUUUCUGUUUUCGUUUUUCAGGUUUCUUUCUUAUUUUUCCUUCUUACUCGUUCGAUGAUUUCUUUCAAAUCCAUCCACAUUUUUAUUAACUUAUGAAUAUUUUAUAAAUUUCAUGAUUUUUUCCGAAUUUUAUAAAGUCCUUUUAAAAUUAGAUGAACAUUUUUUUAAUGACGAACUGUUUUAGUUUUUUUUUAUUUUUUCUCAAAUCUUAUAAACUUUUUUCAAACUUGAUGAACUUUUUUCCAAAAUUGAUGAACUUUUUUUCAAAUUUCAUGAACUCUUUUCAAAUUCGAUGAUCUUUUUUCAAAAGUAAUUCAAAAUUCGAUCAAUCUACAAAUUUGUAGUUUUCUUUUUCUGUAAAGUCAUGAAAAAAUUAUAAAUUUUGAUGUAAUUUUUUAAAAAUUGAUAAGUUUUAAAAAUUUCUAGAUUUCUUUUUUUGUAAAGUCAUGAACAAUUUUUUAAAUUUCAAUGAACUUUUUAAAACUUGAUGAACUUUUUAAUUAUACAAUCUUCUUAAAAUUUCGAAGAACUUUUUCAAAAUUGAUGAACUUUUUUAAAUAUGCAAACUUUUUUAAUUCUAAUGUACUUCUUUCUAGUUUGUCACUUUUUUUAUCCAAAAAAAGUAUCAUGAUUUUUUUUCAAAAAAAAGAAGCGAUUCAGUACAUGGUUAUGUAUUAACAAAUAGCGUUGGACUUGUUAUUAGGUUUUCACGCAGUAACUGGAGACUUCGCAAUGGUAGCUCCAUCGGUUAGCGUGUUCAUAAGUGCAACGGACGUCUUGGUUCAAACCCGGUAGCCGCAAAAAAAAUUGUGACUAGGUGGUUGAGGGGGAGAGUAAAAGUGAGUAAAAGUGAGCAUAGUUUAUUGGCAUCGACAACACUGAGUAGAAAUUAAAAAAACAACUCUUUUUUAAAAAAUUUGAAGAUUUUCUUUCUAAUCCUCUUCCGUUAGAAAACGACCACAUGCUUUGUAGCACCGGCCAAGUCUAGUAGUAACGCUCGAGAAAAAUCUUCAAAGAAGGUUGCGCCUCCUGCGACUGUCCGAAGCUCACGGAAUUAAGUCAUGUCCCUCUAUCAACACUAGAAAGAGGAAGACGUGUGGUGUGAUUCAUUACGAGGAUCCCAUAUACCCUACCUCGCCACAACAAAGCCAAUCUACGGUGGCCGAGGAGGGUCGUGCGAGCCAAAGACCAGAUCUUUGUUGCAUUUGGACCUUAUGUUAUAUUUAAAUUUGUUUCUAAAAUUUGAAUUUAUGGAUCUAAAAUGUCUGAGUAGAGUUCAUAUGGAUAAAAAUUCUAACAACAUUUUUCUAGAAAAAUUGACUUGGCACAUAUGCUUUGUAGGAUCUAUUCACGUGGAAUGAUACCUUAAAACCACCUUUUUACCUUAAAACCAUUUCAAAGGCUUCUUCAUGUGGAAUAUGCUCGGAAUAAGAGCAUCUCCAGCCGCGCCCCCAACAGGCCCUCCCAAGGCCAUUUUUUUUUCCGUCGGCGAGCGAAAAACGGUCUAGUCGUGCCCCAAGGAGUCCGUUUUUCGCGGUUAGGACCGAAUUUGGUCCUGGUGGUACCAGCCCGAACCCAGCGCGCUCGGGGUCACCUGGACGCGCCGGCGGAAGGGAAAACGGCGCGUUAACCCCCCUGUUACGCGGAAAAAGAUUUUUUCUUCUCCGGAUCCACCCCUCGCGCACCACGCCUUUCCCCACCGUGUCGAUUCCGGUGCCGCCCACCUACCUACGUCCGUUGCAAAGGUCAUCUCCCCGCCGACUGACGUAGGGUUCAUCGCGGCUUCGCCCCCUCCCCGCCCCGCCGCUUCUUGGCGUGUUUUCCCGGCACUCCGAGCACGUACGCGGCGAUAAAGUAUUCUCGCACCGUUAUCAUAUGAGCCGGAUGUUCUUCCUCACGAUUGCGAAUUCCAUCAGGGAAUUCGACAACUAACUUCAAGUGCAAAAAGAUUGCAUUGGCACACUUGGAUUCACCUCGCUCGAGAAGUGCACGACAACUAUGAGGAUGCUUGCAUACGAAACUCCUGAUGAUAGUCUGAAAUACUAUGGACGCAUGGACGAGUCCACCACCAUAGAGCGUUUGUACAAGUUAUGCAUGACAUCGGUGGCAGUUUUCGGACCUUAGAUUUUGCGAUCACCAAAUGUUGAAGACACUACUCGGAUCCUAGCACAGAAUACAAAAAAAGAGGAUUUCCUGGGAUUCUUGGAAGUAUCAACCGCAUGCAUUGGAAAUGAAAAAAUUGUCCAUUUGUUUGUCAAGGGAUGUACAAAGGCUCUAAAGGAGCUUGCAGUGUGGUACUUGAGGCAGUAGUCACACAUGACCUCUGGUUUUGGCACCCCUUCUUCGGUAUGUCAGGAACUCACACUGACAUCAACGUACCGCAGUGCUCGAAUGUCUUUGGCAAGCUUGUUGAAGGUCAUGCUCCUCCGGUUAACUAUGAGGUCAAUGGUCACCAUUACAAUAAGGGAUACUACCUAGCAAAUGGCAUCUAUUCGAGAUGGUCCACAUUUGUGAAGACUAUCUCAAAUCCUGCAUGAGGAGGCAAGCACUCCUAUUUUGCCAAGCGUCAAGAAACUGGCAGGAAGGAUGUCGAACGGGCAUUUGGUGUGCUUCAAUCUUGUUUUACUAUUGUGUGGUACCCCGCUCAGACCUGGUCGAAAGAUCAAAUGUGGAAGUCAUGACUUUGUUGUGUUGUGUUGCACAACAUGAUCAUUGAAAGCGAGCGGGUUGAGCCAGUAUCUGACACUGAACCAUAUUACAUGAAAGGUCCUCUUGUCCAAGUUGAUCACCAGCUACCAGGAACCUUGACUGCCUUCCUCAACAUGAGCGUGGAGAUCCGAGACCCACACGUGCAUCAACAAUUAUAGCAUGAUUUGGUGGAGCACCUAUAGAGGCUUAAGGGCAACGAGUAGCUCGAUUUUUAAUUUGUAUUGACUUGUUAAAUUAUUUAUGUUAAUUUCUAUGAUGAACUCUGCGAUAAAAAAACUAUUGUUGUUCAAUUUACGUUGAACCAUGUCGAAUAUGAGCCAAAUGUGAGCCAAUACUGCGUCGAAACUAGGUCGAUUUGCGUCGAAAGUGGGCCGAAAGUGGCGGCUCGGGGUUCCAUUGGGUGGGCGACUGGGAACACGAUCCCCCACGCCGUUUUUUGCGCCGGCACACCCCAAGGCGGCGCUAUUUCAGGCCCGUGGGGCCUAACGGCUGGAGAUGCUCCAACAAGGCACACGAGAUGUAGGGAAGUACCACGCAUCAGACUACUGAUGUUUUCCUUCCUAUCAGACUAGUUGGAUACCGUUGGAUGCAACAUGGAUGAGAGGUGGAUGAGGCAUGGUUGCAUCUUGCAUGCAGCCCAUCUCACGUGAAGAUUCCCAAUUCUGUAAUCAAUCACCAUAAUUACCGUACGUGGUGUUUGCCUGUGCUGUCCUUUCGUUAAUGGCUGUGAAUUGCUCGUUUUCUGGAAACUAACUAUUACAUAUUUUAGGCAAAUAAAUUUGUUUGUUACCUUAGAACAAUGAUUUUCGAACGUCACGAAGCAUGUUUCUAUUAUUUAUUGACAUUGCUUCCAACACACCCGAAGUUUGCUUCAAUCUAAAGCGCGGUGAAUGAAAUUUGCUUCCAAGUAUAUUUGAAAACUUUCUUUAAUUAUGUUGCUUUCAUAUAUGAUCUUCGCUCGAGCUCCCUCUAAUCACGUGCUUCCUUUUCUUCCAUACUUGUUUCCAUAAUAGCAUAAAUAUGCUUGCAAUACUACAACCUACGCUUUAUAAUUUUUGCUACGAGGCAUGUGUAGUUGUAUUUUGAAGCACAAUUUUUCGACAGGUUGAAAUCUGUCACAUGUAAUAUUGAUGCAUUUCAUGUGUUGGUGAGUCGUUGUUGAAGCAUGAAAAAAUUAGUAUACAUUGUAGUGUUUGUGGAAAAGAAAGAAGCAAAAUUAUAGAUACUUGGAAGCUUAUUAUUUAUAAGUUGGAAGCAUGCCAGAUAUGAUGUUGAAGCACUGCCUUACUAAAACUAAAGGGAAUACAUACAUAUGCACCAUGAAACUUAGUACAUAGAACCCGUCGAAGAACCAAUGGUGUCAAUGACAGGAAGUAUCAGAGACGACAUCGACUCGUACAAUGGCACCAUGCAAAGCGAGGUCGGUAUUGUAGCCAUAGUCUGCAGGUGUCGAUCUUGUCGUGACCAACUCGCCGGCGGCAUGAAUUUGGAAGUGCCUGCUCCAUGGAUAGAGCGGAUGUUGAAAUUAGUAGUGGGCUUUAGGCCCAUAAGAGAAUUUCAGAAAUCUCCAAAGACCCGUGUAGGUGGUGGCAUGACAAGGUGGUGGUGGGAAGUUUAGUCCCACUCUGGAGAAGAAACUGGACCCUCAUACAUCUCAAACGUAUCUAUAAUUUUUUAUGUUUUCACGUUGUUAUCUUGUCAACUUUCGAUGUUUUGUUUACCUUUUAUAUCUUUUUUGGGACUAACUUAUUAACUCAAUGCCAAGUGCCAGUUCCUGUUUUUUCUGUGUUUUUUACUCUUUUCACAUCUGAUUUUGGAACGGAGUCCAAACGGAAUAAAAUCCACAAAAUGAUUUUUUCCAGAACAGAAGAAGAUCGUGAGGCUUGAGGGCCAAGCAAGUGGGCCCACACGGGGGCCACAAGCCCUGUUGCCGCGGCCAGGGGGAGGCCGCGACAACCAGGUUUUUGCCCCCCUGGCGCUCCCCUGCCCUAGGUCUUUGGCCUAUAAAUUCCCUAAAAAUCCAGAAAAAAUCAGGGCAUCCACGAAAACACUUUUCCGUCGCCGCAAGCUUCCAUUUCCGCGAGAUCUCAUCUGGAGACCCUUCCCGGUGCCCUGCCGGAGGGGACUUUGGAGUUAGAGGGCUUCUUCAUCAACAUCAUCGCCCCUCCAAUGACUCGUGAGUAGUUCACUUCAGACCUACGGGUUCGUAGUUAGUAGCUAGAUGGCUUCUUCUCUCUCUUGGAUCUUCAAUACAAAGUUCUCCAUGAUCUUCAUGGAGAUCUAUCCGAUGUAAUCCUCUUUGGCAGUGUGUUUGUCGAGAUCCGAUGAAUUAUGGAUUUGUGAUCAGAUUAUCUAUGAUAUAUAUUUGAGUCUUUGCUGAUUUCUUAUAUGCAUGAUUUGAUAUCCUUGUAAGUCUCUUCGAGUCUUGGGUUUUGUUUGGCCAACUAGAUCUAUGAUUCUUGCAAUGGGAUAAGUGCUUGGUUUUGGGUUCAUACCGUGUGGUGACCUUUCCCAGUGACAGAAGGGGCAGCAAGGCACACAUCGUGUUGUUGCCAUCAAGGGUAACAAGAUGGGCUUUUAUCGUAGAUAUGAGAUUGUCCAUCUACAUCAUGUCAUCUUGCUUAAGGCGUUACUCUGUUCUUUGGACUUAAUACACUAGAUGCAUGCUGGAUAACGGUUGACGUGUGGAGUAAUAGUAGUAGAUGCAGAAAGUAUCGGUCUACUUGUUUUGAUGUGAUGCCUAUAGAUAUAAUCAUUGUCAUAGAUAACGUCACGACUUUGCGCGGUUCUAUCAAUUGCUCGACAGUAAUUCGUUCACCCACCGUCUACUUGCUUUCAUGAGAGAAGCCACUAGUAAACACUACGGCCCCCGUGUGAUAGCCCGAGACCGACGUUCCAGAAGAUCCCCCUUUAUUUCCGUUUCCGUCGUGUGGUUAUUUUUCGGUUGUUGCAUCGUCAUGUAGUUUGCAUCAUGGCAUCUUGCAUCAUAUGUUGCGUGUUGUGAUCUGGGUUGUGAGUGCUCUCGGUGUCUUUGGUGCAAUAGGUCGCCGCCCUCCCUCCUCUUUUAGUUGUUUUGUGGCGGCGUUCAAGUUUUCGUUUUAUCUCCUUUAAAAAAAAAUAGGUUUGUUCUUCUUUUAAAAAAACCNNNNNNNNNNNNNNNNNNNNNNNNNNNNNNNNNNNNNNNNNNNNNNNNNNNNNNNNNNNNNNNNNNNNNNNNNNNNNNNNNNNNNNNNNNNNNNNNNNNNNNNNNNNNNNNNNNNNNNNNNNNNNNNNNNNNNNNNNNNNNNNNNNNNNNNNNNNNNNNNNNNNNNNNNNNNNNNNNNNNNNNNNNNNNNNNNNNNNNNNNNNNNNNNNNNNNNNNNNNNNNNNNNNNNNNNNNNNNNNNNNNNNNNNNNNNNNNNNNNNNNNNNNNNNNNNNNNNNNNNNNNNNNNNNNNUGUUCGACCUAGCAAACCACUGAUUGGCUAUGUUACCGCUUGCUUAACCCUGUGUUAGCGUUGCUAGUUGCAGGUGCAGUUGCUGCCAUGUGAAAACAUGGGUUCUUUGUUAUAUCACCCUAUUAAAUGUUAUUUACUUUAGUGCACCUAUAUACUUGGUAAAAGGUGGAAGGCUCGGCCUUUCUAGCCUGGUGUUUUGUUCCACCUUUGCCCCCUUAGUUUCCGGCUACCGGUGUUAUGUUCCAUAAUCGAGCGCUCCUAACACGAUCGGGGUUGUUAUGGGACCCCCUUCAUAAUUUGUUUUAGAUUAAAGUUGGUCUGGCAAGGCCCAACAUUGGUUCUACAUUUGCCCAACAUAAUAAUUCUGUUAAACUGAAAUGCAUAGGGCGUCAUGAACCCGAGGAGUAAUUUUACAUAAAUAGGGGGGCCAGUGCUGAUGGUGUUGGUCCCAAAAGGACAGACUUUGGGGCCACCACGGGGCAACUAGAGGUUUGGUACCUGUAGGCUUUUCCAUCCAUCGUGUCCUGAGAACGAGAUACGCGGCUCCUAUCGGGAUCGUCGACAUGCCGGACGGCCUUGCUGGAUUAGUUUUACCUUUGACGAGAUAUCUUGUGCAUCGGGAUUCCGGUGAUGCUUUGGGUAAUCUCAGAGUUGAGGUUUCCAACUAGGGAAUCCGACGAGAUCGCGAGCUUCGUGAUUGAGGAUUUCUAUCCGGCUUGUGGUAAUUUGUGAUGGACUAGUUGGAGCACCCGUGCAGGGUUAAAUCUUUUCGAAAAGCCGUGACCGCGGUUAUGUGGCAACGUGGAAAUUUUGUUUAACACUGGUUCUAGAUAACUUGAAGUUAACUUAAUUAAAACAUGCCAAUUGUGUGCGGAACCGUGACUGUCUCUUUCGUGAGUUCCUUCUCCGAUCGAGGACACGGUGGGGUUAUGUCUGACGUAGGUAGGUGUUCAGGAUCAUUCAUUUGAUCAUCGGUAGUUCACGUCCGCUAUGCGUAGAUCUUCCCUCUCUUGUUUCUUGUACUCGUAAGUUAGUCACCAUAUACAUAUGCUUAGCCACUGCUGCAACCUCACCACUUAACCAUGCCUCACCUAAUAAGCUUUGCUAGUCUUGAUACCUUUGGAAAUGAGAUUGCUGAGUCUCUUGUGGCUCACAGAUUACUACAACACCAGUUGCAGGUACAGGUAAAAGUUACUUGACGCGAGCGCGUUGAUUGUACAUUUGGAGUUGCUUCUUCUUCUUCUUCAUCGAUCUAGGAUGGGUUCCAGGCCGACAGCCUGGGAUAGCAAGGAUGGAUGUCGUUCUUAUUUUCUCGUUUGAUUUCGUCCAUAGUCGGACCCUGCUCUUACUCUUGAUGAUUAUGUAAUGUACUGAUGUGACUCUGAUGUAGCUUGUGGCGAGUGUAAGCCAACUCUGUAUAUAUAUCUCUUCUUUUCAGUACAUGUACUUGUAACGAUAUCCAUUCUUGCGACAUGACGAGAUGCGCUUCUAUCCCUGACGAGGCCUUCGUGCCAAAUUGAGGAUAGGGUCGUAUCUUGGGCGUGACAAGUUGGUAUCAGAGCAGUACCGACCUAGGAGCCCCCUUGAUUGAUCGAACUUGGCCGAGUCUAGUCUAGUGAAAAACUAUUUGAGUUUAGUUAUAUAUCGGAGAGUAGGAUUCUUUUUUCUCCUCUUCUAUGCUCUGGUGAGGAAUCUUGACGUAAUAAUUUACUCUACUCCUCUUCUCACUCAAAAAAAAUUUAGGAUCACGCGGAUAUUUUUGGAAUCUAUAUGAUGCCGAUUUGACGGAGUUCUGUCUUGGUGCCUCCUAUCUGCUUUAAGUCUCAGGGGAGUUGAGCUCCAGGAGAUUAUUGAGCACAUCGUUAUCAUUCAGAUUUCUUAAUAUCUCAGAACGAAGGAUGUUCGUAAUUGCUUCAAUACUAGUAGUGGCGAGAUAACCCCGAUGUCCCCAGUACUGGUGCAUAUUGUUCGGGAGUACUGCCAUACUUUGUAUCGUUGUGAUCACGAGGGUCUGUUGUAGAUGAAGGUCCGAGAUUCUGGUCGUGUGUUGACGGAUGUGAUACAAGUGACGGGUUAGUAUAGGAGUUGUGUGUUAUUACUCCUUGUAUUCGUGUACCAGAUUGCAUGACCAGAUAUUUCGGGAAUUCAUAGGCGGGAAUUCAAGUAGUUGCUUUUAGGACAAUCUUCCAACAAAUGCAUGAGGUUAGGUUGGGGUUCGACAUUUAGUGGGUUCGUUUGUUCAUGGUCGACUUACAGCGGUACACGUUGUGUCUUAAAGAGUCCUUGUAGCUUGCUACGACUCGGGGACGCUUCGUAUGUCGGGUGCACUGCCUUGCACUUGAUGGCUACUGUAAAAUCGAGCCCGUGCGAUCCUGUCCACAAAAAUAUCGGACGAAAUCUUUCCCAUGAGUUUGUUCUGGCUUGUUUCAUAAGCCUCACCCCUUGUUUUGUUGGAAUAUGGUAAUUCAAGUUGCUUCGAUGUCAUAUGGUGAUUUCAUAUCUUUCCAAGAGCGGUUCUCAUAUUUCUAUGAGAGUGAUAAUCCGUUUGCUUAAUCAUUUGACUUAUUAAUUCUUGUCAACCCGAGUCGUCGUGUUAAUUCUUUUCCAACCGGUGUGGUUCUCUCCAAGUGGAUACAAUCCUCUUCAAUUUUUGCAAGAUCAUUCUCUCAUUUUAUUCCGGAGUUCAUCUCAUCUGUACCAAUUUGUCUUUGUUUUUCCCGCCCUCCCGCCCUUUUCUUCAAUGUUUCAGUCAUCAUUCUAGUGCCUUCAUAUUCAGUGAUGCUUCCGCUAUCUCUUCUCCCUUUUGUACCCGGUGAUUCAUUGUGAUGAUUCUCAGGAUCUUCAUGUUCAUCCUUAUUCAGUCUUGUUAUUUUUCUGGUGAAUUCAAUUUAGUUGUUCGUGUCAUCUUAUCCAUUCAUCCUUGUAAUUCUUUCCUAUGUUGGGAAUUCUUAUGAGCAUAUCUUGUUAUUCAUUCCUGUCUUUUCUAUCCGGAGCGUUGAAGCUAUCUUAGAAGUUCUUGUUUCCAAUCUUUUAAUUAUUCUGAGGUUCUCAACCUUAUUUAGUUCUAUUCAUACCGGUGCAAUAUCUCUCUUCUAAGCAAUAUUUUUCUAACGGUGAUUUCUUUGAGUGGGCCCAUAACCCAUAGGUUCUUUCCCACGAUCUUUCCUGGCUCUUUUAAUCUUUUCCAGAGACCUCUAAAUCUUUUCAACUAUGACGUAAGUAUGAUUUUGAUCAGUCAUAUCCCUUCUUCAAGAUCUAUUUCAAUUAAUUCAUUCUUUGGCUCAACCUUUCAUUCUUCAUUAUUCCGGAGUGUCUCAUUAAUUCUUGGUGUUGCUCUCGCCAUCAUUCUCAGCUUGCAAUUCGAAGGACUCUUUCUCGCAAAUCUUGGUCCGUUCUUUUGAAGAUUCAUCAUUUCAGCUUUGUGCCAUCAUCUUAUUUGUUUCCAAUCAUGAGUGAUUCGUUUCUUGUUAUCUGGUGCAUUUCUGAGUUGUUUUUAUUUCUUUAUCCUCCGAAGGCCAUCAUUUCAGAAGAUUCUUCGUUCUCAGCUUUCAGCUUUCAUCCUCAAUUAUUCUCAAUUGUUGUCUCUUCGUUCGUCUCUCGUUUAUCCGGUGCCUUGUUCAAGUUUUGUCAAGUGGCUCAUGAUCUCUCCAUUCUCAUGUGUCUCCAUGCUUUCUUGGUGUUCCCAUUCAAUUGUGAAUUCUUACCGGUGCUUUCUUCAAUCAUGCCUCAAGUGAUGCUUAUCUCUCUCCUCAGUCAUUUCUAGAAGAAUAAGUAGUAUUCUAAAUCCGUUGCUUGUCAUCAAUUAAACUUGAUGAAGUACUAGCAUAACAUAAUUCUUAUUCUUGUUAAUAGUAAUCUGAGUUCUUCUUCCGGAGCGGCUCACGAUAUCAAUUCCUUUUUCUCAAGUGUGCUUAUCUUUUCUUUUCCGGAGUUUCAAGUUCUUUUAAGUAUCUCUUUGUGAGGCUUCUUCUAAAUCUUGGCAAGGUCAUAAUCUAAUUCUUUUCUACCUUCAUAUCGUUGCAUCAUUCAUAUGGAGGUCCUUCAUGGUGGUUCAUCAUGAUAUCAAUUCAUUCUCAAGUGUUCUUCAAGAUUCUUGUUGGAGAACCUCAAGUAUUCUUUCUCUUGCAUUUCCAAGUGCAUUUGUUCUUCCUUUAUCCUUUGAGGUGGUAUUAUAGCAUUCUUGUUAGUGUAGGAGCCUCGAAGAGUUUUCCUUUCAAGAAUGAGAUAAUUAAACCCACCAAUUCUAUGAUCAUGAGACAUUUUUUUUCAACCCAUGAUUUCUUCAUUGAGCUAUCUUGGUUUGGAUUUCACCUAAAGCUUUUCCUAUGGACUGUGCUAUCAUGGUGCUUGUCAUUAAUCCAAGUUCUCAAUGUAUCCUCUUGGUGCAAGUAAUUGUUCAUAUCUUGUUUCUCCCAAUAUUCCUUGUUUCUUCUGGUGGUUGGUUGUCACCUUAUAAAUGUGAGAUGAUUUUCUUAAGCCCACUACUAUCUUGUUCUUUCGUUGUUGUUUUCCAACAACUCCGUUCAAUUCUUCUUGCAAGGGUGCUUGUCAAGUUCAUUGGAGUUUACAGUUGUCAUUCUCUCUUCAUUCUCUUCUUUCGUAUGAGCUAGUUCCUAUUCUAUUGUUCCGGAGGCAUUGUGUUGUUGCUCUUUUGGGUCAAUCUUGUUGUUCUAUCAAGAUCAUGGUGUUUCCUUGCUCUAUUUAGUUGUUGGUUGUGAAUAUUGUCUAUUUCUUCCAUCUUAUCGAAUUUUUUGUCCCAUUUUCCUACCGAAGUGCUGCCGAAAUUUUUCGUGAAUUCUUGCUUCUUUCUCAUAUCAUUCCUCAUCUCUUUGGAACCUUCAAGGAUCAUUGGUUGCGCUCGUUUGUCAAAGAAGCGACUAAGUUGUUACCUCUUGUUCCUUCUCACCCUCUCCCCUUUCAUUCUUGGAUCUCGGGGCGAGAUCCUCUUGUAGUGUAGGAAAGUUGUGACAGCCCGAGACCGACGUUCCAGAAGAUCCCCUUUUCUUUCUGUUUCCGUCGUGUGGUUAUUUUUCGUUUGUUACAUCACCAUGUAGUUUGCAUCAUGGCAUCUUGCAUCAUAUGUUGCGUGUUGUGAUCUGGGUUGUGAGUGCUCUCGGUGUCCUUGGUGCAAUAGGUCACCGCCCUCCCUCCUCUUUUAGUUGUUUUGUGGCGGCGUUCAAGUUUUCAUUUUAUCCCCUUUAAAAAAAUAGGUUCAUUCUUCUUUUAAAAAAACCNUGAGUAUCGGGAUAGGUACUUUACCGUGGCAUCGUUUCCGAUUUGCCGCCAUGGUUCCCUCUCGCUCGCCGUGGCGACAUAUGCUUCUUUCCCUUCUUGCCGUGAUGUUGUACUUGCAUGCAUGUUGCAUCCAUGGCAUGAUAUAUUGUGUUGCAUGCCUCUUGUGCCGUAGCUCCGCUCUUUGUUCCGCGANNNNNNNNNNNNNNNNNNNNNNNNNNNNNNNNNNNNNNNNNNNNNNNNNNNNNNNNNNNNNNNNNNNNNNNNNNNNNNNNNNNNNNNNNNNNNNNNNNNNNNNNNNNNNNNNNNNNNNNNNNNNNNNNNNNNNNNNNNNNNNNNNNNNNNNNNNNNNNNNNNNNNNNNNNNNNNNNNNNNNNNNNNNNNNNNNNNNNNNNNNNNNNNNNNNNNNNNNNNNNNNNNNNNNNNNNNNNNNNNNNNNNNNNNNNNNNNNNNNNNNNNNNNNNNNNNNNNNNNNNNNNNNNNNNNNNNNNNNNNNNNNNNNNNNNNNNNNNNNNNNNNNNNNNNNNNNNNNNNNNNNNNNNNNNNNNNNNNNNNNNNNNNNNNNNNNNNNNNNNNNNNNNNNNNNNNNNNNNNNNNNNNNNNCUUAAUGUGUAGUGGUUGCAUGAGCUGAAUUGCCAUGCCAUCCCUUGCAUCUUUGAACUGAUCAUGCAUCAUAUUAGGGUAUGCAUCAUGUUGUGCAUCGUGUUGUGAAUAUUUGUGUUGAUGUUUGUUUCCGGUUUGCUCCGUUCUGAUAGAGUUCCGCAAGCGUGUCGGAAUGUGAGGACCCGUUCGACUACGUUGGUUCGCCGACUUCACAGAGUUGUUCUUCUUCCAAGCGGGAUCUCAGGCAAGAUGACCACUUCCCCAGAUACCAUUACUAUCAUUGCCAUGCUAGUUUUACCGCUUCUAUCGUUAUUUCUCGUUGCCUACCACAUGUUAAAUAUCAGCCUCUCAACAAUGCCAUGAUAACCUUCAACCUGUUCGACCUAGCAAACCNNGUGUAAAUAAUCGGGAGUGAAUUAAAUAAUUAAUCGUGGAGUUUCGUCGAUAUGCAACCCGUUGCAUAUCGAGCUUCACUUAAUGUGUAGUGGUUGCGUGAGAUGAAUUGCCAUGCCAUCCCUUGCAUCUUUGAACUGAUCAUGCAUCAUAUUAGGGUAUGCAUCAUGUUGUGCAUCAUGUGGUGAAUAUUUGUGUUGAUGUUUGUUUCCGGUUUGCUCCGUUCCGAUAGAGUUCCGCAAGCGUGUCGGAAUGUGAGGACCCGUUCGACUACGUCGGUUCGCCGACUUCACAGAGUUGUUCUUCUUCCAAGCGGGAUCUCAGGCAAGAUGACCAUUUCCCCAGAUACCAUUAGUAUCAUUGCCAUGCUAGUUUUACCGCUUCUAUCGUUAUGUCUCGUUGCCUGCCACAUGUUAAAUAUCAGCCUCUCAACAGUGCCAUGAUAACCUUCAACAUGUUCGACCUAGCAAACCANNNNNNNNNNNNNNNNNNNNNNNNNNNNNNNNNNNNNNNNNNNNNNNNNNNNNNNNNNNNNNNNNNNNNNNNNNNNNNNNNNNNNNNNNNNNNNNNNNNNNNNNNNNNNNNNNNNNNNNNNNNNNNNNNNNNNNNNNNNNNNNNNNNNNNNNNNNNNNNNNNNNNNNNNNNNNNNNNNNNNNNNNNNNNNNNNNNNNNNNNNNNNNNNNNNNNNNNNNNNNNNNNNNNNNNNNNNNNNNNNNNNNNNNNNNNNNNNNNNNNNNNNNNNNNNNNNNNNNNNNNNNNNNNNNNNNNNNNNNNNNNNNNNNNNNNNNNNNNNNNNNNNNNNNNNNNNNNNNNNNNNNNNNNNNNNNNNNNNNNNNNNNNNNNNNNNNNNNNNNNNNNNNNNNNNNNNNNNNNNNNNNNNNNNNNNNNNNNNNNNNNNNNNNNNNNNNNNNNNNNNNNNNNNNNNCGAUCGGGGUUGUUAUGGGGACCCCCUUGAUAAUUCGUUUUAUAUUAAAGCUGGUCUCGCAAGGCCCAACAUUGGUUCUACAUUUGCCCAACAUAAUAAUUCUGUUAAACUGAAAAGCAUAGGGCGUCAUGAACCCGAGGAGUAAUUUUACGUAAACAGGGGGGCCAGUGCUGAUGGUGUUGGUCCCAAAAGGAUAGACUGCGGGGCCACCACGGGGCAACUCGAGGUUUGGUAUCUGUAGGCUUUUCCAUUCGUCGUGUCCUGAGAAUGAGAUACGCGGCUCCUAUCGGGAUCGUCGACACGCCGGGCGGCCUUGCUGGAUUAGUUUUACCUUUGACGAGAUAUCUUGUGCAUCGGGAUUCCGGUGAUGCUUUGGGUAAUCUCAGAGUUGAGGUUUUCCACUAGGGAAUCCGACGAGAUCGCGAGCUUCGUGAUUGAGGAUUUCUAUGCGGCUUGUGGUAAUUUGUGAUGGACUAGUUGGAGCACCCCUGCAGGGUUAAAUCUUUUCGGAAAGCCGUGCCCGCGGUUAUGUGGCAACGUGGAAAUUUUGUUUAACACUGGUUCUAGAUAACUUGAAGUUAACUUAAUUAAAACAUGCCAACUGUGUGCAUAACCGUGAUUGUCUCUUUCGUGAGUUCCUUCUCCGAUCGAGGACACGGUGGGGUUAUGUCUGACGUAGGUAGGUGUUCAGGAUCAUUCAUUUGAUCAUAAGUAGUUCACGUCCGCUAUGCGUAGAUCUUCCCUCUCUUGUUUCUUGUACUCGUAAGUUAGUCACCAUAUACAUAUGCUUAGCCGCUGCUGCAACCUCACCACUUAACCAUGCCUCACCUAAUAAGCUUUGCUAGUCUUGAUACCUUUGGAAAUGAGAUUGUUGAGUCCCCUGUGGCUCACAAAUUACUACAACACCAGUUGCAGGUACAGGUAAAGGUUACUUGACGCGAGCGCGUUGAUUGUACAUUUGGAGUUGCUUCUUCUUCUUCUUAUUCAUCGAUCUAGGAUGGGUUCUAGGCCGGCAGCGUGGGAUAGCAAGGAUGGACGUCGUUCUUAUUUUCUCGUUUGAUUUCGUCCAUAGUCGAACCCUGCUCUUACUCUUGAUGAUUAUGUAAUGUACUGAUGUGACUCUGAUGUAGCUUGUGGCGAGUGUAAGCCAACUCUGUAUAUAUAUCUCUUCUUUUCAGUACAUGUACUUGUAACGAUAUCCAUUCUUGCGACACGACGAGAUGCGCUUCUAUCCCUGACGAGGCCUUCGUGCCAAAUUGAGGAUAGGGUCGCGUCUUGGGCGUGACACCCCGGGUCUAUUCACACCUAUCGUUUCCACUUUCGCUUUUACUUUGCUUUGUUACUUUGUUGCUUUCAGUUCACACUUGGCAAACAAUCUAUAAGGGAUUGACAACCCCUUCAUAGCAUUGGGAGCAAGCUCUUUGUGUUUGUGGUGGUACUUGUGAUAUUCCUUCACUGGAUCGAUACCUUGGUUCUCAAAACUGAGGGAAAUGCUUACCGUCGCUGUGCUACAUCACCCUUUCCGCUUUGAGGGAACACCAACGCAAGGCUCCAAGGCCACGGGGGAAAUCCUUUACAUAUUUGCCUAGGAAGUCCCUAAAGGUGUAGCCGUAGCAGAAGGAUUCCUGGUGCCGUUGCUGAGGAGUAUCAAGACAAGAAUAGUCUCCCGUCAGCACGCUUGUUUCUCGCACCGUUGGAAGGUCGUUUGUUGCAGUAGCAGACCCCUUUAUAAGGGUCUCUCUUCUACAUGCUAUUGGAGAGUGAGAAGAGAGGAGGCCCUCGCGCACUCCUCCUCCGCCGCCCGCCUAGCCACGACGCGGGUUGCGGGGAUGAGCCGAGCUCAUACCUACGCGCUUUAUUUCUGCCGGCCAGGAUCGGAGAAUACGUAACGGAUGCGCCACGAUCUGAGACGUUGGAUCGUGGGCUGUUACCGACUUAGACGUGGGUUCAGCCCACGUCUCUCCACCCGGCUGCCUAUAUAAGCAGGGCUAACGCCAACCCUAGCCGUCACAAAAUCAGAUCGCCUCUGCCUCACGCUCUCGUUCCUUUGUUGCUGUUGCCGCCGGCGACUCCGUCCCGUUCACCGCGUACACUGUCAACGGUAGAGCAUGCAUGACCGGAGAUGAGCUGGUUGAUGGAUAUUUACAUAUGCAUGUUGCCAAAGAGCCGUGGGAGGAGCUUGAAUUUAAACUCGGGGCCACCGAUGCUCGGAGUGAGAUGUAUGUUAUGGAGCAGUUCCACGAUUAAAAAAUGAUUGACAACCAUUCUGUAUUGGAAUAGGCUCAUGAGAUAAUAUGCAUUGCUAAAGAACUUGAGAUUCUUAAGUGCAAAUUGCGAGACAAGUUUGUCGCGGGCUGUAUAAUUGCUAAGCUCCCUAAUUCCUGGAGGAACUUUGCGACUACUCUGAAACAUCAGAGGCGUGGGUUCUCAGUAGAGGACAUCAUCGGCCAUCUGAGUGUUGAGCACAGCUCGAGAGCAAAGGACUCCAAUGGAAAAGCGGUCGAAAGCUCUUCUGUUGCCAAUAUGGUACAUCAGAGGAACUUCAUUUCCCACAAGCCCAAGGGAAAGAAUUAUGUCCAACAGAAUACCGACUUCAAGAAGAGGGAAAAGAAGACCUUCAAGAAGAAUAAGAAGGGAGAGGGCUGCUUCACUUGUGGUUCAGAUGAACAUUGGGCGAACAAGUGCCCAAACAAGCACAAGAAGCCGACGUAGGACUCCAAGUCUGCCAAUAUGAUUGUGGGCAACAAUGAAAGUGGUGCAUCUAGGUACGGUAAUUUAUUUACUGUAUUUUCAGUUUGUCAGUCCACCGAUUGGUGGGUGGACACAGGUGCAAAUAUUCAUGUGUGUGCUAACAUCUCAUUGUUCUCUUCUUAUCAGGCCACGGGUAGCGGGUUUGUAUUGGCGGGGAAUGGUGCGAGUGCUUCUGUUCUUGGUGUUGGCACGUUCGGUCUGAAGUUUACUUCGGGAAGGAUCGUGCAGCUAAGAACGUGUAGCAUGUCCCUGCCAUCAAGAAGAAUCUCGUUAGUGGCUCCCUUAUGUGUAGACAAGGGUUUAAGUUGGUCUUCGAGUCUAAUAAAGUAGUUGUUACGAAGUAUGGACUUUUUGUUGGAAAAGGUUAUGAAUGCAGAGGUCUAUUCCGCCUUUCCCUUCAGAUUUUUGUAAUAAAGUCGUGAACAAUAUUCAUUCGAGUGUUAAUGAAUCUGAAGUUUGGCAUUCACGUCUUUGUCACAUAAGUUACAGUGUUAUGUCACGGCUAGCAAAACUUAAUUUAAUCCCGAGUUUCACUUUAGCCAAAGGUUCUAAGUGCCAUUCGUGUGUGCAAGCAAAGCAACCUCGCGAGCCUCACAAGGCUGAAGAGGAGAGACACUUGGCGUCAUUAGAACUCAUACAUUCUAAUCUUUGUGAGAUGAAUGAUGUGUUGACUAAAGAUGGAAAGAAAUAUUUCAUGACAUUGAUAGAUGAUUCCACUAGAUAUUGCUAUGUGUAUCUGUUAAAUACUAAAGAUGAGGCUCUACACUACUUUAAAAUAUAUAAGGCAGACGUUGAGAAUCAACUUGAAAAGAAAAUUAAACGAGUCUGUUCUGAUCGUGGUGGAGAGUACUUCUCAAAUGAGUUUGAUUCUUUUUGUGCGGAACACGACAUUAUUCAUGAAAGGACGCCUCCCUAUUCACCCGAUCAAACGGGGUUGCCGAACGGAAAAAUCUUACUCUAACUGAUUUUGGUUAACACAUGUUUGAUACAUCGGGUUUAUCCAAGGCAUGGUGGGGGAAGGCUAUAUUGACCGCGUGUUAUGUCCUGAAUAAGGUUCCUACAAAAGAUAAUGAGGUCACUCCCUAUGAGGAGUGGUCGAAGAGAAGGACGACGCUCUCGUACUUACGUACUUGGGGCUGCUUGGCGAAGGUCAAUGUGCCGAUCCCCAAGAAGUGUAAGCUUGGACCAAAGACUGUGAACUGCGUUAAUUUGGGAUACGCUAAGAAUAGCGUAGGUUAUAGAUUUCUAGUAGUGAAAUCUGAGAUACCUGACGUGAAGGUCGUUACAAUUAUGGAGUCGAGGGAUGCUACAUUCUUUGAGGAUAUUUUUUCCCAUGAGAGAUAUGCAACGCACUUUUAGACAAGAAUCUGAGGAAACUCGUGAGCCUACCAUUCCUAUGGAAUAUUAUGAACAAACACAUGAUGAUAAUCCUGAGGAGGAUGACGAGGAAACCCUUGGUAGGGGCAAGAGACAAAGGACUACAAAGACCUUUGGUGAUGAUUUCUUCAUAUACCUUGUGGAUGAUAAUCCCACUUCUAUUUCAUAAGCGUAUGCUUCUCCAGAUGCUGAUUACUGGAAAGCUGCGGUCGUAGCGAGAUGGAUUCCAUCAUGGCUAAUGGGACAUGGGAAAUUACUGAUCGUCCCUAUGGUUGUAAACCACUAGGAUGCAAGUGGGUGUUCAAAAGCAAGCUUAGGCCCGAUGGUACAAUCGAAAAGUACAACGCUAGGCUUGUGGCUAAGGGCUAUGCCCAGAAAGAAGAAGAAGAUUUCUUUGACACUUAUUCACCUGUGGCCAGACUAACCACCAUUCGAGUACUACUCUCGUUGGCAGCCUCGCAUGGUCUUCUUUUUCAUGAAAUGGACGUUAAGACGACUUUCCUGAACAAAGAGCUAGACGAGGAAAUCUAUAUGCAACAGCCAGAUGGCUUUGUGAUAGAUGGUCAGGAAAGAAAAGUGUGUAAGUUGUUGAAAUCUUUACAUGGACUGAAGCAAGCACCUAAGCAAUGGCAUGAUAAGUUUAAUACAACUCCGACAUGUGUUGGUUUCGUUGUUAAUGAAGCUGACAAGUGUGUAUACUAUCGCCAUGGUGGGGGCGAAGGAGUUAUAUUGUGCUUGUAUGUUGAUGACGUACUGAUAUUUAGAACCAACCUCAAGGUGAUUGAGGAGGUUAAGUACUUUGUGUCUUAAAACUUUGAGAUGAAGGACCUUGGAGUGGCUGAUGUUAUCUUGAACAUCAAGCUAUUGAGAGAUGAUGAGGGUGGGAUUACACUUCUGCAAUCCCACUAUGUUGAGAAGAUUUUGAACCGCUUUGGAUAUUCAAACUGCAAAAAUUCUCAAACACCAUGAUCCUAGUGUGCUUAUUCGAAAUUUCAAAGGCACAACUAUAGAUCAAUUGAGAUUAUUUCAAAUUAUCGGUUCGCUUAUGUACCUAGCUAGCCAACGAGGCCUGACAUCACGUUUGUUGUGAGCAAACUUAGCCAGUUUGUUGCAAACCCGGGCGAUGUUCAUUGGCGUGUUGUUGAAAGAAUUAUGCGCUACCUGAAAGGUACUGUCAACCACGGACUUCACUAUAUGGGAUACCCAUCGGUACUUAAAGGGUAUAGUGAUGCGAAUUGGAUCUCUGAUGCUGAUGAGAUGAAGGUCACUACUGGGUAUAUAUUUACUCUUGGAGGUGGUGCUGUUUCCUAGAAGUCUUGCAAGCAAACGAUCUUAACGAGAUCGACAAUGGAAGCAGAAUUAACAGCAUUAGACACAUCUGGUGUCGAAGUAGAAUUUCUUCGAUAUAUUUUGAUGGACUUACGUGUGGUUGAGAAGCCGGUUCCGACUAUCCUUAUGAACUGCGAUAAUCAGACAAUUAUUGUCAAAGUGAAGAGUUCAAAGGACAAUAUGAAGUCCAACAAACAUAUAAGAAUGAGAUUGAAGUCUAUCAGACGUUUGAGAAACUCCGGAGUGAUAUCGUUGGAUUACAUCCAAAUGGCUAAGAAUCUGGCAGAUCCCUUUACUAAAGGGCUAUCAUGGGUUGUGAUAGAUAGUGCAUCGAGGGAGAUGGGUAUGAGACCCACAUGAGUUGCCAUGGCAGUAACCCAACCUAUAUGAUCGGAGAUCCCGUGAAGUAGGACCUGGGAAAACAAGCCAGUGGUGAACUGAGAAGAGUAACUUUACUAACCCACUCUGUUGGAGAUGCAAUGCUCUCGGAUACUGUAUGGUAGGAUGACUACUGUCUUAAUGUGUUUUAAAGCUUAUGUGUAAGCAAGAUGCUGUCCUACAGAGCGAUCUUUGGAGGAACACAUCUAUAUGAGCCUGACUACUGGUCAAAGUCUAUGAGAUUGAGGUGAUAUAUAGUAAACUCAUGAAUAGGCCAGGAGUGUGACUAAUAUGCUCCACCCGAGGGGUCAGCCUUCGGUAGCCUAGUACUAGUAAGACUUGUGGUGAAGCUUCUUUACGCCAGACUGACAAUUCAAGGCAUGGUCCAUUGUUCCGUUGUAAAGGGGUGUAACUGCUUGUUCUAGGUGAAGCUCAACAUUAACAGAUCUUCACUGAAAUGCUGGUAUAUUAAAAUAGUGAUUGAAGCGAGGGAACACGAUGUGCCCUUGAGAUGUGGUGGGGGAUUGUUGAAAUUAGUAGUGGGCUUUAGGCCCAUAAGAGAAUUUCAGAAAUAUCCAAGGGCCCAUGUAGGUGGUGGCAUGACAAGGUGGUGGUGGGAAGUUUAGUCCCAUCCCGCUAGUGGAGAAGAAAUUGGACCCCUUUAUAAGGGUCUCUCUUCUACAUGCUAUUGGAGAAUGAGAAGAGAAGAGGCCCUCGCGCAUUCCUCCUCCUCCGCCCGCCUCGCCACGCCUCGUCACGACGCGUCGCGGGUUGCGGGAAUGAGCCGAGCCGAGCUCAUACCUACGCGCUUAUUUUUGUCGGACAGGAUCGGAGAACAUGUAACGGACGCGCCACGAUGUGAGACGUCGGAUCGUGGGCUGUUACCGACUUGGACGUGGGUUCAGCCCACGUCUCUCCUCCAAGGCGCAAGGGACGAUUCUAGGGGGGUACGAGGGGGGGGGCUAGACCCCCCUAACAAAUUGAUUUUUCUACUAUGAUAGUGGUUGCUGUGGCCAAUUUUUUUUACUUCAUAUGAACUUUGCCCCCUCCAUGAACAAACUUGCCCCCCCCUAUACUUGCAUGUUGGCUCCAUCCAUACCAACCGCCUAUAUAAGCAGGGCUAACGUCAACCCUAGCCGUCACGAGAUCAGAUCGCCUCUGCCUCACGCGCUCGUUCCUUUGUUGCUGCCGCCGUCGGCGACUCCGUCCCGUUCACCGCGUACACGGUUGACGGGAGAGCAGGCCUUCGAAACCCCGUCUCUCCGGUUCCUGUACGGGAUAGAGGCGAAUAAGUUUUUGGGAAGCGACUACGCGACUGCUCGCCUUCAAUCCACUACUUCCUCCACAUCUGCGUCGUCUCUGUCAUCACCAUGUCCACCGACGCCGAACGUGAUGCCGCCGAGAAGACCGAGGCCGACAAGAAGGCCGCCGAGGACGCUGCUGCUGCCGCCACCGUCGCGGCAGCUUCUGCAUGGCCUACUGGAGGGUAUAACACGUUUAUCCCUCUCCUGAUUAUUUCUGUAUUAGCAGUACUAGCAUCAUGUAUAGAUUUGUCUACUGCUUGCGUAGUACGUGCUUGUUUAGAUCAGUAUCAGUAUGUCGUUAAUUAUAUCAAUGCCACGCUAGUCAUCUAAUUAUGGAUUAAAUUAGUAGAAAAAUUGCCUAUUUACUCAGCAGCGACAAGGCCUAGGAGAUCGGUAUGGUGAGAUGAUCGAUCUCACAUGGUCGAUCACCGUGCCAAGGGACCUCAAACGUUUGUGCUACCCCGUGCACAUGCGCGUUGUUGCCCCGAUCGGCCUUGACGUAUCAUGGCCGCGUCGUUCAUGGUGAAUUAAGAUCUCGGCACAUCACGAUCACGGGCGUCGAGCGUCUCGGUAUAUCAUGAUCACGGGUGUCAAGCGUCCCGACAGAUCACGGCUGCAAGGGUUGUGGAGAGUUAGCCGACACGUUGACGGCGAACGACUCCAUGUUGACGUACUCGUCAACUAGAUGCUCCUCACCCCUGCUCCCCAUUGACAUACUCACCACGGUCGUCGGCGGCAGCGGUGACGGGCAUGAAGCAGAUGUCGGCUGUGGUGGUUAGGUUAUGGUUGUGAGAACGUGGGUUCAUGGGUUAUAUAUAUAGCCAAUGUACAAGGCGUUGGAUCCUUUUGUUAAAAUCCAGCGGGAGACAAGAGGUGUGAUCGUGAGCGUGGGAUCAAACUUGUGAUAUAGAGCGUUUCCACGAGAUGUAACACUAAAUUUCACCCCGGUCAAAGAAUCAUCACUGCACUGAUCAUCGAGAAAAUAAUCUAACCUCACACGUAAAAUCAAGAGUAACAGCUAGUACUAUUUUGCAAAAAAAAAAUAUUAAAAGUAACAACGAGAGACAAAGAAAUCGACAACCCCAAGCAGGCGAGCAUCGGAUUUGGAUCCAACCACGCACAAGCCCUAGCGGUGGCGACGACAACGAUUGGUGUAUCUGCUCCGCUGAGGGCAUUUAUUUUGUGAUCCCGGAUCAUCCGGACUCUGUUCCAAAUCAUUCGAGCAGGUCAACUUCUAGGCAAAUGGCUCUAUCUGACUCAAAGUAUAUAAAGCCCCUUACCCCUUCGGGAUUGAACUCACUACUACACUCAAACACACCCAAAGAACACAAGUGCUCCCUCUCUCUUGCUUCCAUGAAAUCCUAGAUCCCUAGUCAGUCUUUGUGAGCUUGAGAGAGUUGUUUCAAUCAAAUGAAAUAUCCACUACUUCCACUUUGUGUGACCCAAGGAACUCGUGGUUUGAGCAAGUCUCGAGCUUUCCCUUUGGAUCUUGUUACUCUUGGAGGUUGGAGACUCCUAGGUGGUAGGAGUACUCCGGUGAGGAAUCGUUCAUUGUGAUUACCCCCAGAAAGUUUGUGAGUGUUUGGAGGCCACCUCAGGGCCUACCACUAGUGGCUUAGAAAUGCCUUCGUGGUAUUGUCUCAAGGAGAGAAUAGGGUGUGCCUUCGUGGUGUUGGUGUGCCUUCAUGGUAACAUCCACCUUUCUAAAGAGUGACGUAGCUUUCCUCCAAGGAAGUGAACACCGUGAUACAUCCUCGUCUCUCGGAGUUGCGGUUAUUCCGAACCCUAGCUUCUUACUUAUGGUUACUUGUCUCCUUACUUGUUACACUUGUUUUCAUAUUAGGGCUCCUUUGAUACAAAGGAAUUCUAUAGGAUUUUUGGAGGAUUGAAACCCUUAGAAUUAUUUCUUACGUUGGUCCUUUGAAUCAUAGGAUUCAAUCUCAUAGGAAUUUUUCCUAUGGAAUCUUUUGUACUACAUUUCAUAGGAAAUCUAACAUCCACUCCAACUUCUUUUUUACAAUUCCUUUGUUUUUCUUGUGGCAUCAAACACUCCUUACUAAUCCUAUAGGGUUCAAAUGGACAUGCCACUUCAAUCCUCUAUUUUUCCUAUUCCUGCGUUUUGAAAAUCCUGCGAAUCAAAGAGGCCCUUAAGGUUUGAUUAUUUAUUUAGGUGCUUAGCUUGUAUACCAUACGUGUUACAUUACCACUAGUGCAAUUGUUAGACUAAAAUACAUAUUCCGCAUUAUUACCUAAGAUUACUAAGUAACAACUAAAAUUUGUAAUUGUAUCUAUUCACCCCCUCUCUAGGUCCAUCUUGAUCCUUUUCACGAAGGACACGAAAAUAGAACUCCUUUCUUUCUAACUCCCUUUUUCAACCCCUUUGAAAAUUUUGUUUCUAAUCCUCUUCUAUUAGAAAACGACCACAUGUUUUGUAGCACCCGCCAAGCCUAGGAGUAAUGCUGGUGAAAAGAAACUUCAAAGAAAAUCGUGCGUGGUGCAGCUGUCGCGAAGCCAACGAAAGGAAGUCAUGCCUUCUACCAAUAGUAGAAAGAGGAAGACCUGUGGUGGGAUUCACAUCGAGGAUCCCAUAUACCCUACCUCGACCCGCCAAGCGCCCCAACAGAGCCAAUCUACGGUGGCUGAGGAGGGUCGUGCGAUGAAGCUGCGUGGAGCUUGCGUGUGGAGGUGAUCCGUCAUUUUUUUCUUUGAUGACUACUAUGGUGUUGCGAGAGGCACGUGAUGGACGUUGGUGUCAAGCUCAUAGGUUUGUUCGUCUUGUUUGUAAUUUUUCUUCUUGGCUGGUGUUUCUUUGUGCAAAUACUAGUGUUCUGCUACGUAUUAAGUUUUGUCAGGUCGAUGUGUACGUGACUUAUACUAUAAUCCUUAUGAUAUAAACGAGACACAUAUUAGCAUAUAUAAAAAAAUGAUGAAGGCCGUGCAAGCCAAAGUUCUUUAGAUCAUUUGUUGCAUUUGGACCUGAUGCCAUGUUUAAAUUUGUUUCUAAAAUUUGAAUUUAUGGAUCUAUAAUGCGUGAGUAGAGUUUAUAUGGAUAAAAAAUUUAACAAUAUUUUUUUUAGAAAAUUGACUCCACACACAUGCUUUGUAGGCUUUAUUCGUCCGGAAUGAUACCUUAAAACCACCUUUUUUACCUUAAAACCAUUUCAAAGGCUUCUUUAUGCGGAACCUGCUCGGAAUAACAAGGCACAAGAGAUGCACCACUAAAUUUCACCCCGGUCAAAGAAUCAUCACUGCACUGAUCAUCUAAACCAAUAAUCUAUCCUCGCACGUAAGAUCAAGAGUAACAACUAGUACUAUUUUGCAAUAAAUAAAAUAAAAUAAAAUAAAUAACCAGAGACAAAGAAAUCGACANNNNNNNNNNNNNNNNNNNNNNNNNNNNNNNNNNNNNNNNNNNNNNNNNNNNNNNNNNNNNNNNNNNNNNNNNNNNNNNNNNNNNNNNNNNNNNNNNNNNNNNNNNNNNNNNNNNNNNNNNNNNNNNNNNNNNNNNNNNNNNNNNNNNNNNNNNNNNNNNNNNNNNNNNNNNNNNNNNNNNNNNNNNNNNNNNNNNNNNNNNNNNNNNNNNNNNNNNNNNNNNNNNNNNNNNNNNNNNNNNNNNNNNNNNNNNNNNNNNNNNNNNNNNNNNNNNNNNNNNNNNNNNNNNNNNNNNNNNNNNNNNNNNNNNNNNNNNNNNNACCCCAAGCAGGCGAGCAUGGGAUAUGGAUCCAACCACGCACGAGCCCUAGCGGCGGCGGCGGCGGCGGUUGGUGUACCACAGGGCGUAGCACGCGAUGCGACCACGGGGGGUGCGCGAUCGGCGCACACCACCAUCCCCCGUGACCGUGAGCUCAAAAAGGUCCAGACGAGGGCGGUCCAAUGGAGCAACGACACGUGCCGCCCCUCCCCCACAGCGGUCCACUGGACACGGCCCACGCGGCCCGCCACCCCCCGCGCCCGGCUCGCGCGGACUCCCGGUUUGACCGGGCCCGCCCACGCGCCGUGCCGCGACGCGUCGGCCCGCGAUUGGACGGCUGCCCCCGUUGCCAGGCGAGCUUCUCGAGGGGCCGCACCCAUCGCCCUCCUAUUUUUCUAUCCCCCCAUCCCGCACCCCUCCCCUCCCUAUUCCUAUCNUAUCCCCCCCGCCCCCUCCCCACGAACCCACCCCACAGCCAGCGCCCACUCGCCCGAGAUCCGCUGCCGAGGCCCGUGAGAACUCCGCCGCGCCAGAGGAAAAGGUACUCCCCUCCCCCUCCCUUUCCCCUCUGCUCUCGGUGCGAGCCACCGGUUGAUUGUUGUGCGGGGAUCAGAGGUGAGGCGACCCCGCGCGUACCGCGGCCGGAUCCAUUUCCGUUUCCGUUUUUCUGCUUUUGAUUUGUUCGCGUCGGGCUAGAUCCUGGCCUGGAUCGGGCUGGAUCUGGCGCUGGCUUGCUGGAUCGGUUAGGGUUCGAGAUCGGAUCUGGUGCGGUAGUUAGGUUUUCCCAGAGCGGUGGUCUUCCUGCCGGAAACGCGGCUUGUUGACCGUCUUUACCCUUUGGUUGGGCCGGUUUCAGUGGAGAUCGACGGGCGAAUUUCAGGAGGUUUCGAGAUCUGGCCAGGAGCAUGGUAAUGCGCACCGUGCCGAUGCUCGUGGUGGUGCUGGGUCUCUAGAUCCGGCGCGCAUCUAGGUAGAUGUGAUGCGAAUCUCGUCGGACGAGCUCUAGAUCUAGUCAUAUUAUUAAAAGUAGGACGCAAGUUUUUAUGUGUUUGGACCGUUCUAAUUUCAACUUGAUGUUUGUUUGCUUGUUAUUCCGUGGAAUAUUGUUUUCUCAACCUGAUGUUCGGUGGUGUUAGGCUAGAUUUGUCGAUUAGAAUAUCGGAAAGUCGGAGAAUAAAAGCAGAAUAUUGACAGCUCAUUUUGAGGAUGUAGUAGGAUAUCUAGAUGCCUACACUCCAUAAAGUGAUUCCUUGCCUAGGUUGAUAAAGUAGGCUAGUUCUCUAACUAUGCUGUUUCAUAUAAAACUGCUCACACCACUUGCGAAUCAGGGAAAGAGGGUGACUUGCGUAACUGUAUAUUCUCUUUCCUUUGGUUCAUUGUUCUUCAUCAGAUUCUUAAACUAGCUAGAUUGUUGAUCCCACAUGCACUGUUCUUCACGGUGUAAGGGCAGCUUGUAAUAGUGACAACUUUGUAUUUGCAGGCACUGAACUAGGUUGUAACAAGGAACAGGGAAGAUGUCUACCGCUGAGGCAACCCGUGAGGAGAAUGUGUACAUGGCCAAGCUCGCUGAGCAGGCUGAGCGUUACGAGGAAAUGGUUGAAUUCAUGGAGAAGGUGGCAAAGACCGCUGAUGUCGGUGAGCUCACUGUUGAGGAGCGCAACCUGCUGUCUGUGGCUUACAAGAAUGUGAUUGGUGCCCGGAGGGCAUCCUGGAGGAUCAUCUCCUCCAUUGAGCAGAAGGAGGAGAGCCGUGGGAACGAGGCCUAUGUCGCUUCGAUCAAGGAGUACCGUACCAGGAUUGAAACUGAGCUCAGCAAGAUAUGCGAUGGCAUCCUCAAGCUUCUGGACUCCCACCUCGUCCCCUCUGCCACUGCAGCAGAGUCCAAGGUGUUCUAUCUGAAAAUGAAGGGUGAUUACCACAGGUAUUUACUUGCAGCAUACAGAGAAUUAGACCAGUCCAUAGUUGUUGUACACAAAUUUACUUUAUACUCACUGAUUGCGAAACCAUAGGUACCUUGCGGAGUUCAAGGCCGGUGCUGAGAGGAAAGAAGCAGCUGAGAACACUCUUGUUGCGUACAAGUCAGCCCAGGUUAGAUUUUAUGGAUCGUUUGCUACUUUGAAACAUCCAGUUUCACCUACCAGUUUGCUUUAUCAUCAUUCUCUUGCAAAAUUGAAUACAUGUUCCAUCUUUCCUGUUUGGGACCAAGUUCCUUCAAUUUUUCGGAUAUGCUAUACUACUGGCUAUUCUUUUCUUUGUGUAUGUUCUCUUUCAUUGGGUGCACAUGCUGACAUCUUUUUACUUGUUCAGGACAUUGCUCUUGCUGACUUGCCUACUACUCACCCGAUUAGGCUUGGGCUUGCACUCAACUUCUCAGUGUUCUACUAUGAAAUCCUGAACUCUCCAGACCGUGCUUGCAACCUUGCCAAGCAGGUUAGUCUUCUCUGUUUUGUACUUCAUAUCUUUUGAUGAUGAAAAGUACACCUGAGUGCUAUUCCUCAUUGAAGCUAUACCAGUCUGAUCUCUGGUUAUAUUGUCACAUCAACAUUUCUUAUGCUUUCCUUUAUGGUAGAGCAUUGUCAAGUUUUUGUAUGCAAGAUGAACAUAAAUCCUUGCUAACUAUGCCAACCACUCAAAAUGAUUCAUGCCGCUGAGAAUUUAAUUUGAACCAACACUUGACGUACUGUUAUAUGUCUAGACUGAUAUUAAUACUGGUAUGUAUACUUCUUGGUAGGCAUUUGAUGAAGCUAUUGCUGAGCUGGACUCCCUCGGCGAGGAAUCCUACAAGGACAGCACCUUGAUCAUGCAACUUCUUCGUGACAACUUGACCCUCUGGACCUCCGAUAACGCAGUAUGCCCCCCUCAAAAACUAUUUCCUGUAUUUGUUCAUUAUGUGGGGUGUUGAAAACCCUGUUGCUCAUAAUCCUGCUAAACUUUUCCAGGAGGAGGGUGGUGAUGAGAUCAAGGAAGCUGCCUCAAAGCCUGAGGGAGAGGGGCACUGAUUGGCCCUCAAGAGUGUGCCCAAGUUUAUUUCUGAGUCCAUUUACGCAGCUACCUGUAUCAUUCGGAUCAUAAGAUGUACUAGGGUCGGUUGCACUAUGUGAAUCAUAAGAUGUGGUAGGAUGGUGCUAUGCGAAGCGUGUCGAGCUGAAGUACCUAGUGGACUACAGUCAUGAGGACGGUCAUGUGGACAUCGUCGCUUCUUAGUUCAUUAGCAGAUUUCAAACUAUUUCCUGUAUUGCAGCACAUUAUUAGUAUUGCUGUAUUAGCAAUUUUCAUGGCUUGUUGAUGAUUGAUCAUACUUCGCGUAAGGCGCCCCUAAAGCUUGUGCCUUUCUUAUGAGGCAACAACUGAGAUUUUCUUGUCUACUUUCCCUCUCAAAAUAAUUGAAGUUCUAGGAUUCUUCCCUUAGCUUAAUUAUGAAAUGUAUUUUCGUAUUAUUAUAUCGAUCAACAUGUUCAACAUCAAUUUUAUUCCCUUAUUUUAAUUUUGAAAUGUAUUUCUGUAUUUUUAUGAUGUCCUGUCGUUUUUUCUGAUGAUAUUUAAUCCCUCUUUAUGUUUAUAUUUGUACUCUAGACAAUUAAACUUUGUUCCAAUUUAGUGACUUAAGCCAAGAGCAAUAUGCACAAAAAACUUUUCAUCCUAUGUCCCAAGAGCCAAGCCAAGAGCAAUAUGCCACAUGAGAAGCCAAUAUCACGGCCCUUCUAAUUUCCCAGAAGUCCUCUUCUUCAACGUCAAUUUCAUCUCUUUGAAUGAAGCAUGCUUCCCUCUCUACACCUCUUUGCUUCGUCAUCUACCUUUUCUUGUCUCUUUGACAUCUUGACACCUUGCUAAUUUCUCCUGUUUCUUGAACGUGACUAUUUGUGUCAGAUGGAUGGUUCUAGGCCCAAAUAGAUGCUAACAUGGAUGGUUACGAUUGUGUGUACAAAUAUUGUCCUCCCUUUAAUCCAAAUUAAUUGACACAACUUAAAUCAUCUCAAACUUUUCUCUCUAGGCACAAAACUUUAAUCCUUCCUAAGUCUCUCCUCUUGAUUCGUCCACUCGAGUCUCCAUGAAGUUAGAGUACGGCUUUGUAGAUCUCCCAUCUUCCUUCUCUUCUACUCCAUCCUUGCUCUCUGAGAAGAGGAGUGAUUUGACAUCGGUCUUUUUGGUAAAGCGUCACGAUUCCUUGAGUGUAAAAAGAUUUCAUUCAGACUAAUGCAUAUGCUUGUAUGGUAAUUUUCAUGUGGCAUCGAACAAUUCAUGAUGAGAGAUAUGUUUUAUCUUCUUAUAAUAGUAUAGAAAACUGGCUAGAAUAGGCAAAUCUAUGAGUUUGGACGAAUAUCCCAUAACCGGACCUUGGGGUCCCCCGAACUUUCGGAUCGCAGCGGGACAUAAAACCAGUGAUUAAUAUCAUAGAAAACUUACGAGAAUAGGCCAAAAAUGUGAGUUUUGAUGAGCUUCCCGUAUUCGGAACCCAUGGUGCCUCGAACAUUCGGAUCGCUCGAGGACCAAAAAUCAGUGAGUAAUAGUAUUGAAUACUUGUCAUAACAAGCCAAAGAUGCGAGUUUUGACAACCUUCCCGUAACCGGGCCCCAAAGUUCCCCGAACACUCGGAUCGCAGCGGGUCCCAAAUCAGUGAGUAAGAAAUUGGCCAAAAUAGGCCAAACCCGCGAGUUUUGACGAGUUCCCCGUAACUGUACCCCGGGGUUCCCCGAUCGUUUGAAUCGCGACAAGACUCCAAAUCAGUGACUAAUAGUAUGAAAAACUGCCCAGAAUAGGCCAAAGUUAUGAGUUUUUGACGAGUUCCCCGUAACCGAACCCCGCGAUUUCCCGGAUGUUCGAAUCGUGUGGGACACAAAAUCAGUGAGUAAUAGUAUAGGAACUCGCCACAAUAGGCCAAAUAUGCGAGUUUUGAUGAGUUCCCCGUAACCAGACCACUGGGUUCCACGGACGUCCGGGUCGCCGACACUCAAAAUCAGUGAGUAAUAGUAUAGGAAACUAGCCACAAUAGGUCAAAUCUAUGAGUUUUGAUGCGGUCCCCGUAAGCGGAGGCGGAGUUCCCCGAACGUUCGGAUCGCACUCGGACCUAAACUCAGUGAGUAAUAGUAUAGAAAACUAGCCAGAAUAGGUGAAAUCUAUAAGUUUUGAUGAGUUCCCCGUAACCGGACCCCGGGGUUCCACGCACUUUCGGGUCGCCCCGGGACUCAAAAUGAGUGAGUAAUAGUAUAGAAAAUUAGCCACAACAGGCCAAAUCUAUGAGUUUUGGCGAGGUCCCCAUAAGCGGAGCGCGGAGUUCCCCGGACGUUCGAGUCGUAGUGGGACCCAAAAUCAAUGAGUAAUAGUAUUGAAAACUAGCGAGAAUAGGUCAAAUCUACGAGUUUUGACGAGUUCCCCGUCACCGGACCCGAGGGUUCCACAAACGUUAGGGUUAUCCGAGGACUCAAAAUUAGUGAGUAAUAGUAUAGAAAACCGGCCAGAAUAGAGCAAAACUAUGAGUUUUGGUGAGUUCCUCGUAACCGGAUCGCGGGGUUCCCGGAACGUUCGGAUCGUCCCGUGACCCAAAAUCAAUGAGUAAUAGUACAUAAAACUAGCCACAAUAUGCCAAAUCUAUGAGUUUCGCCGAGGUACCCGUAAAGGGACCCCGAAGUUCUAUGGACGUUGAGAUCGUAGCGGGACCCAAAAUCACUGAGUAAUAGUAUACAAAAUAGGCUAGAAUAGGCCAAAUCUCCGAGUUUUGACGACUUCCCCAUAACCGUAUCCAAGGGUUUCCCAGACGUUCGAAAUGCAGAGGGACCCAAAAUUAGAGAGUAAUAGGAAAGAAAACUAGCCAAAAUUGCCAAAUUUGUUAGUUUUGAGGAGUUCCCGUUACCGGACCCACGGGUUCUCGAGAGGUUCGUAUGAUAGCGGGACCUAAAAUAAGUGAGUAAUAUUAUAGAAAACCGGCUAGAAUAGGCCAAAUUUGUGAGUUUGGACAAGUACCCCAUAAUCGGACACUGGGGUCCCCAAACUUUUGGGUCGUAGCGGGAUAGAAAAUUAGUGAGUAGUGGCAUAGAAAACUAGCGAGAAUAGGCCAAACUGCGAGUUUUGAUGAGUUCCCCAUAAUCGGAACCCAUGGUUCCCCGAACGUUCAGAUCGCACGAGGACCCAAAAUCAAUGAGUAAUAGUAUUGUAUACUAGAGAGAAGAGGCCAAAGCUGUGAGUUUUGCCGAGUUCCCCAAAACCGGGCCCCAAACUUCCCCGAACGCACGGAUUGCAGUGGGAUCCAAAACUAGUGACUAAGAAAACUCGCCAAAAUAGGCCAAAUCCGCGAGUUUUGACGAGUUCCCCGUAACCAUACCCCGGGGUUCCCCGAUCGUUUGAAUAGCGAUGAGACCCAAACUCAGUGACUAAUAGUUUAGAAAACUACCCAGAAUAGGCGAAAGUUGUGAGUUUUGAUGAGUUUCCCGUAACUGAACCACGGGGUUCCCUCGACGUUCGGAUCACGCGGGACCCAAAAUCAAUGACUAAUAGUAUAGAAAGCUAGUGAGAAUAGGCCAAAUCUGCGAGUUUUGGCGAAUUCCUCGUAACCACACCCCGGGGUUCCACAGACGUUCCUGUCGCCCCGGGACUCAAAAUCAGUUUGUAAUUGUAUAGAAAACUAGCCAGAAUAGGCCAAAUCUAUGAGUUUUGGCGAGGAUGCCGUAAGCGGACCCAGAGUUCCUCGAAACCGGACCCCGAGGUUCCACGAAUGUCCGGGUUGCCCCGGGACUCAAAACUAGUGAGUAGUAGUAUAGAAAACUGGCCAAAAUAUGUUGGGGAACGUCGCAUGGGAAACAAAAAUUUUCCUACGCGCACGAAGACCUAUCAUGGUGAUGUCCAUCUACGAGAGGGGAUGAGUGAUCUACAUACCCUUGUAGACCGUACAACAGAAGCGUUAGUGAACGCGGUUGAUGUAGUGGAACGUCCUCACGUCCCUCGAUCCGCCCCGGGAACUAUCCCGCGAUCAGUCCCACGAUCUUGUGCCGAACGGACGACACCUCCGCGUUCAGCACACGUACAACUCGACGAUGAUCUCGGCCUUCUUGAUCCAGCAAGAGAGACGGAGAGGUAGAAGAGUUCUCCGGCAGCGUGACAGCGCUCCGGAGGUUGGUGAUGAUCUCGUCUCAGCAGGGCUCCGCCCGAACUCCGCAGAAACGCGAUCUAGAGGAAAAACCAUGGAGGUAUGUGGUCGGGCUGCCGUGGAAAAGUCAUCUCAAAUCAGCCCUAAAACCUCCGUAUAUAUAGGUGGGAGAGGGGGGACCUUGCCUUGGGGCUCAAGGAGCCCCAAGGGGGUCGGCCGAGCCAAAGGGGGGAAGGACUCCCCCCCAAACCGAGUCCUACUUGGUUUGGUUGGUGGAGUCCUUCUUUCCUUUCCCACCUCCUCCUUUUUCUUUUGUUUUCUCUUUGUUUUUUCUUCCAAUGCGCAUAGGGCCCUUUUGGGCUGUCCCACCAGCCCACUAAGGGCUGGUGGGCCACCCUCAAGGCCUAUGGGCUUCCCCGGGNUAUCAAGCAACAACACCUUCAUAAUCAGAAGACACUGACUAUCUUUGAUCAACUGGCUAGCCAACUAGAGGCUUGCUAGGGACGGUGUUUUGUCUAUGUAUCCACACAUGUAAAUGAGUCUUCAUUCAAUACAACUAUAGCAUGGAUAAUAAACGAGUAUCUUGAUACAGGAAUUAUAAUAAUAACUAUAUUUAUUAUUGCCUCUAGGGCAUAAUUCCAACAAAAUGUGCCAGAUCUAUGAGUUUUGGCGAGGUCCCCGUUAGCGGACACUCGAGUUGCCCGGACGUUCGGAUCGUAGUGCGACCCAGAAUUAGUGAGUAAUAGUAUAAAAAACUCGCGAGAAUAGGGUAAAACUGUGCAUUUUGAUGAGUUCCUCGUAACCGGACCCCGAGGUUCCCAAAAUGUUUGGAUCGCCCGAGGACCUAACAUCAAUGAAUAAUUGUAUAUAAAACUCGCCAGAAUAGGCUAAAUCUAUGAGUUUCGGGGAGGUACCCAUAACCGUACCCCAGGGUUCCCCGAACUCUCGAACCGCGGCGAGAUCCAAAAUAAGUAACUUGUAGUAUACAAAACACGCGAGAAUAAGACAAAUCUACGAGUUUUGACGAGUUCCUUGUAACUGGACCCCGUGGUUCCGCGGACGUUCGGGUUGCCCCGGGACUCAAAAUCAGUGAGUAAUAGUAUAGAUAACUAGAUAGAGUAGGCCAAAUCUAUGAGUUUUGAUGAGGUUCCUGUAAGCGGACCCUCGAGUUCACCUGACUUUCGGAUUGUAGUGGGACCAAAAUCAGUGAGUGAUAGUAUAGAAAUUUGCAAGAAUAGAGCAAAAUUAUGAGUUUUAACGAGUUCCUAGUAACUCGGCCCCCGGGUUCACGGAACGUUCGGAUCACCCCGGGACCCAAAAUCAAUGAGUAAUAGUAUAUAAAACUAGCAAGAAUAGGCCAAAUCUAUGAGUUUCUCAGAGGUACUCGUAAAUGUACCCCGGGAUUUCCCGAACGUUCGAACCGCGAUGAGGCCCAAAAUUAACGCUAAUAGUUUACAAAAGGCUAGAAUAUGCCAAAUCUGCGAGUUUUCACGAGUUCCCUAUAAUCAAACCCCGGGUUUCCCCGGACAUUCGGAUUGCGCGAGACCCAAAAUCAGUGAGUAAUAGUAUAGGAAACCGGCCAGUAUAGGCAAAAUCUGCGACUUUUGACGAGGUCCUCGUAACCGGACCCCCAGAUUCCACGGACUUCCGGGUCUCCCCGGUACUCAAAAUGAGUGAGUAAUAUUACAAAAAACUGUCCAGAAUAGGCCAAAUCUAUGAGUUUUGGUGAGGUCCGUGUAAGCGGACCCCGGAGUUCCCCGCACGUUCGAAUCGCAGUGGGACCCAAAACCAGUGAGUAAAAUUAUAGAAAACUGGCCAGAAUAGGGCAAAAUUGUAUGUUUUGACGAGUUCCUCGUAACCUAACCCCCAGGUUCCCCGAACAUUCGGAUCCCCCUAAGACCCAAAAUCAGUGAGUAAUAGUAUACAAAACAGGCCAGAAUAGGCCAAAUCUGUGAGUUUUGAGGAGUUCCGUGUAACCGUACCCCAAGAUUCUCUAGACGUUCGAAACACAGCGGGACCCAAGAUCAGUGAGUAAUAUCAAAGAAAACUGGCCAGAUUAGGCCAAAUCUACGAGUUCUGACGAGUUCCCCAUAACCGGACCCCGGGGUUCCACGAACGCCCGGUUGGCCCUUGGACUCAAAAUCAUUUAGCAAGAGUAUAGAAAACUGGUCCGGAUAGGCCAAAUCUAUGCGUUUUGGUGAGGACGCUGUAAUCGAACCAGAGUUCGCCAAACGUUCGGAUCCCAACGAGAUCCAAAAUCAGUGAGUAAGACUGUAAGAGCAAAGGAAACUAGCCAGAAUAGGCCAAAUGUGCGAGUUUUGAUGAGUUCCCCGUAACCGGACCCCGGAGUUCCACGGAUGUCCGGUCGCACCGGGACUCAAAAUCAGUGAGUGAUAGUAUGGAAAACUCGCCAGAAUAGGCCAAAUUUAUGAGUUUUGAUAAGGUCCCCGUAAGCGGAUCACGGAGUUGCCCAUACGUUCGGAUCACAGUGGGACCUAAAAUUAGUGAGUAAUAGUAUAGAAAAUGGCAAGAAUAGGGAAAAACUAUGAGUUUUGACAAGUUCCUUGUAACCGGAACCCGGGGUUACCGGAACGUUCACAUCGCCCCGGGACCCAAAGUUAGUGAGUAAUACUACAUAAAACUAGUGAGAAUAGGCCAAAUCUAUGAGUUUCGGCGAGUUACCCGUAAAGGGACCCUGGAGUUCCAUUAAUGAGUUCCCCGUAAUCGGAACCCAUGGUUCCCCGAAUGUUUGGAUCGCCACACGACCCGAAAUCAGUCACUCCACUGAUGCUGAAAACAGUUUAAAAAUAGUUUGCAGAGAGUUGUCCAAGCUUAAAAAGCAUAUUGACCAGAUGACUCGUGCUAUCUUCGAUUAUUGCUUGCGGAUCUUGUCAACUUUUUGCCUGCCAACAGUCAAUAUUAUGGCGCCUUAUGUGUUUUUGUUCUUUUGCAAGUCGUCGUACAUGCAACCUUCAGGACAACUGCUUGCUGAAUCUUAAAGCCGUGUACAUUCUGACUGAAUAGAUGUAUACAUCGAGCUUGUGCACCAUAAAGGUUGUUGGUGGGAAUAAAGAGUCGGUCACUCUUAUAAAAGAUGUCCUAGCCUUCCUUUCCACGAUUCCAAAAUAGAUCGGGGAGCUAAAUAGAUCAGCUGCUCAGGCUGGAGCCACUUAUUAUUUAAGUCGUACUCUGGCUUACUCAUCUGAACUUGACCCGACGAAAAUGUUGAAAGGAUUCUCGAAGCUGAAGGCUGAUGGCUCACCUUUCAAAGAAGAUGACUAUCGUCAGUGCAUCUCAGCAGCCCAAAAUUUGGCUAGCGAGCUUGUAAGUGGCAUGUCUUUGAAGAGUUAUCAUCCUACCUAUGACUUAAACAAUGCUAAGAUUCAACCACCUCAAUUAAAUCAGUUGGUGUGAUUCUGCAGUGUGACAAGCAAACCUUUGCUCCUGAUGUCGAUCCAUCACCAAUCUUUAAUGAGGACGCCAUGUUUGAAGCCUUGGCUCAUUGUAACUGGAAUUUGGAUGACCUUCAAAUAGUGGAGCCGGCGCUGCAAGGAGAAGACCACUCAAAGAUAUCCCAAGCCAAAGACCAAGACAAGUCUUAGUCUUGAAUUUUAUAAAAACUUUAAGCUUCCAUCAAUUGGGCGUGGAAUGCCUUGUAACAUAUUUGACUCACCUUUGUGUGUCGUUGCGAAUAUAUGAGCCAGAUAACUUCUGUAUGAUCUGGAUAUGUUUUCCUUCAAACUGAGCCAUCAUCGCUCGUCUUUUAUCCAUCUUACUUAUUAAAUAGAGAUUAUAUUUAUGCGUGUCAAUCCUUAAUGAUGACACCAAUAAAAUCCGGCUCAGUGAGACGUGGUUAAAUAGACCAGCUUUCGAAGUUCUAGUCUUACUUGAAUGAAGCGGGCAUAAUAGCCCAUGGUUUAUCCUUGCUUUCAAUAUGCCGGCUCUCACAUGACAUACCCAUGUUUUAAGCUUCCUAAUUUAGGGUCCAUAACAUAUUGAUUAGUCAAGAGUACAUGGAGUCACCUUCCUCGGAGUCGCCAAAGCAUACCAGCAUGUUUAACCAUUUGUGGCGUCUUUGCCGACCAAGAAGGUAAGAAAGCUAAACUAGAUGAGUUAGAAGCCCCCAAGUGACCUAUGAUCAAUAGAAAGGCCUGCCAUAGGAUUGAAAAAGAUAAUGCUAUUACUGCUAAACAACCUGGAGACUAUUGGUCCCCAGAUAAGCCGACUUAAUUCUUAUGAUAUAGUCUUGUAAUCCCCCAUGUAAUGUAAAUAACAAAGGCUCACACUUAAUUUUUAGCAAGAAGAUGAGCUUUAAUAAAUCCAAUAUAUCAUAGAGGUUUUACAAGGAAUAAUGAGCCGGUAGCUCUAUGUAUAAUAAGGCCAUAGAUGAGCAAUGUUCCAAGGGUGAGUUCUUUCUGCUUCAGUGGUGUUCUUACCGGGUCGUAAAUCAAUCACGUAAUACGAACCGUUGUGGAGAUUUUUCGUGACAAUAAACGGUCCUUCCCAGGGUGGCGAAAGUUUAUGCAUCCCUGUUUGGUCUUGGAUGAGCCGAAGAACCAAGUCACCUUCUUGAAAGGUUCGACUUUUAACCCUACGGUUGUGGUAGCAACGCAGGUCUUUUUGGUAUAUUGCUCACCUAGCUGCCGCUAAGUCUAGCUCCUCCUCCAAGGCAUCCAUAGAAUCUUGCCUUGCUGCUUAAUUGUUGACCUCAACAUAAGCGGUGACUCUAGGAGAGUCGUGUGGAAUAUCUCUUGGGAGUACCGCCUCAGCAUCGUAGACCAGGAAAAAAGGCGUAUACCCAGUGGAUCUGUUUGGAGUAGUAUUAAUCCUCCAAAGAACUGAAGGAAGUUCCUCCACCAAUCAUCCUGUAGUUUGUAUCAAUGGGACCAUAAGUGGGGGUUUAAUCCCUCUCAAAAUUUCUUAAUUUGCCCUUUCAACCUACCCGUUAGAUUGUUGGUGCGCCACAACCACUAAAUCAAGCCGGAUAUGUUCCUUGUGGCAAAAUUGUUCCAUAGCCCCCUUUGACAAAUUAGUACCAUUGUAUGUGACAAUACUAUGGGGAUAACCAAAAUGAUAGAUUAGUUUAAAAAAAAAUUCACCGUUGUUUCUGCAUCGCAAUUACUCACAGGUUCUACCUCAACCCACUUGGUGAACUUAUAAACCGCCACUAGGAGGUGGGAAUUUUUAUGUGGUGACAAUUUGAAUGGUCCAACCAUAUCAAGCCCCGAGACCGCGAACGACCACGUGAUUGGGAUCAUGCAUAAUUCUUGAGCCGACACGUGAGCUUGUCGCACAAAUUUCUCACAACCAUCACAUUUGUGCAUAAGAUCUUCCGCAUCUGCAUGAUCCGUCAACCAAUAAAAUCCAUGUCGAAAAGCCUUUGCUACAAAAGAUCUUGAGCCAGCAUGAUGCCCACAAUAACCAGUGUGGAUUUCACUUAAAAUUUCUUGCCCCUCUUUGGGAGCGACACAUCUCUGGAAUACACUAGUACUGCUCAGCUGAUGUAGCUCGCCUUUAAUGAUAGUCUUAGAUUUAGACCGACGUACUAUAUGGCGAGCCUCAGUCUCCUCAGAUGGGUGUUUUCCUCUAGUGAGAUAUGUAAAGUAUGGCACCGUCCAUUCUGGGGUCACAUGUAGAGCUGUCACCAGUUGUGACUCUGGAUAUGGAAUUGCUAAGUCUUAUUUAGACGGUAAUUUUACUAAGGGAUUGUGAAGAACAUCCAGAAAAAAAUUGGGGGAACCGGCUUUCCUGCGACCCAAGCCAUGAUAAGGCAUCUGCUGCUUUGUUGAGCCAGCGGUCUAUAUGAUCGACUUGGAAUCCAGGAAAAUAACCCGCCACUUCAAUAACAGCUCGCCGGUAAGCCGCCAUCAAAGGGUCUUUGGAAUCCCAGGUCCAUGAAACCCAUUGUGCCACUAGAUUUGAGUCGCCCAGACAUCUUAGCCAGCUAAGGCUCAUUUCCUUAGCCAUUAGUAACCCAUUCAAUAGAAUUUGUUACCUCGUGGAGAAGUUAACAUGACCCCGACCCCAGAUCUUUCUAACUCUCUGGACCCAUCGAAGUGUAGGAUCCAAUACGUAUUUUCUGGGUUAUCUUGUGGUAUUUGCAACUGCGUCCAAUUGUUGAUGAAAUCUACCAAUGCUUGAGACAUGAUAGCUAUCUGAGGCCUGUAUUUCACCUGAUGUGGAUAAAGUUAGAUUGCCCACAUAGCAAUUCGUCCAAUUGCUUCACGAUUGUGUAUUAUGUCACCAAGAGCUGCUUAACAAACCACUAUGAUCGGGUGCUCCUGGAAGUAGUGUUUCAAUUUCUCACUCGCCAUAAAGACCCAGAAGACGAGCUUCUGCCAGUGUGGGUAUCGUUGCUUGGACAGGGUUAAAACCUCAUUGAUGAAAUAAAGUGGUCGCUCGACUCGGUAUUCCUUUCUUUCCUCCUCCCAUUCAGCAACGACUGUAAUACUUACUGCCUUAGAGUUGGUAGUAAUGUACAUGAGCAUGGGCUCUUUAUCUGCCGGGGCGGCUAGAAUUGGAGGCUUGGCCAGCUCCUUCCUGAGUGCUUCAAAGGCUUCGUCGACCGCUUCAGUCGAGACAAAAUUCUCUGUUUUCCUCAGCAACUGAUACAAAGGUAUCGACUUCUCCCGAGGUGGCUUAUAAAUCGGCUCAAAGUUGCGAUACAUCCCGCGAGACAUUGAACCUAAUUUAUGUUAGCCUACUUGCCGAGUUAAGUCACUGCCUUGAUCUUGUCUGGAUUGGCCUCAAUUCCUCUUUCUGAAACAAAUAAACCUAGUAGCUUACCAGCAGGGACCCCGAACACACACUUUCCUGGGUUUAGCUUCAUCUAGUGUACUCGUAGGCUGUCAAAUGUUUCUUUAAGAUCAUCGAGAAGUGUUUCUUUCUUCUUAGACUUCACCACGAUGUCAUCAACAUAAGCGUGAAUGUUGCGUCCAAUCUAUGGGUGAAGGAAAUUCUGCACACAUCGUUCUUAAGUCGCCUUGCGCUUAUUACUCCAAAUGGCACAGAAACAUAGCACAAGGCACCAAAAGAGGUUAUGAAAGCCGUCUUCUCCCGAUCCUCCUUGGCCAUAUUAAACUGAUGAUAGCCUGAAUAUGCAUCUAACAAUCAUAAUCGCUUGCAACCCGCCGUAGAACCAAUGAUCUGAUCAAUGCAUGGAAGGGCGAAAGGAUCCUUAGGGCAAGCUUUGUUGAGGUCCGUGUAGUCAACUCACAUGCGCCAGGUGCCAUUUUUCUUUAGAACGAGCACCAAGUUAGCUAACCAUUCAGGAUGAAAUACUUUAAUGAUGAACCGAGCAGCUAGGAGUCAGGCUACUUCUUCUCCAAUGGCCUUGCGUCUCUCUUCGUUAAAAUGGUGGAGGUAUUGGCGCACUGGUUUCAUCUUUGGAUCCUCAUUAAGAUGGUGCUGAGGGAGUUCUCUCAGUACUCCGGGCAUGUCAGAAGGUUUUCAUGCAAAGAUGUCCCGAUUCUCACAGAUGAACUCGAUGGGCGCGCUUUCCUAUUUAUGAUCCAGGCCGGUCCCAAUAGUGAAUUGUUUGGACGCGUCGCCUAGGACAAAGUCAACCUGCUUAGUAUCUUCGGCUGUCUUAAACUUGAGAGGCUCUUUGGACUCUAUAGUUGGCUUCUUGAGAGGACUCAUAUCAGUCAGGUCAACAUUAGCUUUAUAAAACCUCAAUUCCUCGACAGCGCAAGCUGACUCUGCAUAGGCUACAUCCCCUUCUUCACACUCUUGAGCCGUCAUCCUAUCUCCCUUCACCAUGAUGGGACCGUUGGGACCUAGCAUCUUGAGUUUGAGGUAAACAUAGCAGGGACGGGCCAUGAAGCGUGCAUAAGCCGGUCUUCCGAAGAGGGCAUGAUAAGGGCUUUGUAUUUUUACGACUUCGAAAGUCAAAGGCUCGACCAUGUAAUUGUAUUCAUCCCCAAAGAGUACUCAAGCCUGAUUCACACAACCGGAUAAGCCGACUUUUCGGGAAUGACGCCAUGGAAAAACAAUGGUCGAAGUUUUCAAACUGCUCUUAGGAAGAUUCAUCCGCCGAAAGGUGUCAUAAUACAAGUUGUUGAUGCUACUUCCUCCGUCCAUGAGGACUGUUGAGAGUUUAUAUACGUAGACUUGAGGUGCUACCACUAAAGCUAGCUCGCCGGGAUUGUCAACCCAGGGUGGGUGAUCCUGACGACUCCAAGUAAUUAACAGCUCAGACAAACACAAGUAUUCUAGAGCUGUCGGCUCAGCCAUGCUAGUAGCCCUCGUUUUAACCUUUGAAUCUCGUCUGCAAGCAUUGGUGGUAAAGACGUGAUACUGGCCACUGCUUGAUUGUACAAAUCUCCAUGUGACCCGCCAGGGGAAUCCCGACUCCAACGCGUAUUGGCGUGUCUCUCAAGAGUCCUCCUCUCAAAUCCAUGCAUGAUAUAACAGUCUUCCCAUGCAUGUUUGGCUGGUUUUUCCUUAGUACCAUGCUUUGGGAAGGGCGCUUCGAGUGCGGCCUCGAAAUAGAACGUCUUGUUCCUCUAUCGGUCCUUAGGGCGACCGUUCCGCCGAUGGGUUUUGGGGCGAGUGUUGGUAGCAGCCGCAAAUUUCAAAUCACAUUCAAAACGCUUCCGCUUGUUGUCACUUUGGCCCCUAGCGUCCCUGUCGUUAUGGUGAUGAGAUGACUUGACGUCCUUUGUCAUGGCCUGGCUUCAAUCAAUCCUGCUCCAACUACGGCGAGCCGGCUCGACGAGGUUGCAGCCGUCGUCCGGCUCGAGUGCUGUUUCGUUGAUCUUACCGAUUAAGAUGUGAAUAUUGCCGAAGGGAACCCGAUACCUGUACUUGAUUGAGUCGGCAUCAGGACCCAGUUGGAACCAUCAAUGUAGAUUUUGCCACGAAGACUUUUGGUCAUCUGACACGCCACAUAGCUCUCGAAUCCCGGAAGUGCUCCCUCUCAAAACUCAACUCCACCUCGCGAUAGCCCCACGGUGGACACCAACUGUCGUGGUUUUGUAACGACAGAUGUCCUCGUGGAUGGACUUAGUGGUGAGUCCAUUGUUGCGAUGUGGCAACUUGAAGGAGUUGAUUGGGAAAUGAUAGGCGAAUUUACCCAGGUUUGGCCCCUCCAAUGGAGGUAAAAGCCUACGUCCUCCUUUGUGUUUGUAUUGAUGGGAAUCUCGAUUACGAACGUGCGGAAUCACUAACCUAGAUCUCGACAGUUUCUUACUUGAUCCUNNNNNNNNNNNNNNNNNNNNNNNNNNNNNNNNNNNNNNNNNNNNNNNNNNNNNNNNNNNNNNNNNNNNNNNNNNNNNNNNNNNNNNNNNNNNNNNNNNNNUGAUCGCGGGAUUGUUCGCAGGGAGGAUCGAGGGACGUGAGGACGUUCCACUACAUCAACCGCGUUCACUAACGCUUCUGUUGUACUGUCUACAAGGGUACGUAGAUCACUCAUCCCCUCUCGUAGAUGGACAUCACCAUGAUAGGUCUUCGUGCGCGUAGGAAUUUUUUUGUUUCCCAUGCGACGUUCCCCAACAUAAACUACUUUUGUACCCAUCCACACAGACCCCACCGCUAGCCAAGACAUUGCCUCCACCUUCGAGUGUGGCUAUCGGUGUCACAACUUAGGUCAACAACUCGACACCGAUAUUUUCGUUUGCGGGGGCACCGACGAACAUGGGAUCGAAUCAUUCCCCGUCCACCAUAGUUUAUGUUCUAAAAUAUAAUAUUGUUCUUCGUAUUUUUCUAAAUUUAUUUCAGAUUUUUCGACGAUGUGUGUUUAAUAGAGGAGACGUCCCCGUCGAUUAGGAAAACAUCUAUGACGACUUUGUCAAUCUUAAAAUGAUGUGCCGGCUCAUUAUUUUGAAAAUGUUUAUAGAGGUAAUGAUGCGCAUGUAUAUAUAAGGAUGAAUGUAUGCACGUAUAUAUGGGUGUCUUCGUCUAUACCGUGUUCUCGAAACAAAAGAUCAAAUCAAAGGGGAAACGUACAAUGCAGAAGAAGUUGUAUGUACGAAAUCGUAUUUUUUUUUUUAAAAAACAUUGACUUUAUCGAUCACUUAACAAAGUUACAAACAGUGUUCCGGAUACAAGCGGGAGCACAAUGAAAAACAAUAAGGCUAGAUAAAUUCUUACAAUGCUUAGUUAACAAAUGAACAACUACAUAAACUUGUUGAUGAAUACGCUUAAACUACUGGUGUACCCAUCCACACAGACCUCACCGCUAGCCAAAACAUUGCCUCCGCCAUCGGGUGUGGCUGUCGGUGUCAAAACCCGUUGAUCUCGAGGAGGGGGUCCGAACUGUGGAUCUUGGGUAGAUGGGUAACAAGGGACGAAGGAGACGGUGUUUAUCCAAGUUCGCGUCCUCUUGAUAGAGGUAAAACCCUACGUCCUGUUGUUGUUGUAUUGACGAAGUAGUACAUAAUACAUAGCUGAUCUACCUCGAGAUCGAUUGUUGUGGUCGAAAGCCCUAACCGUAAUGAGCUUAAUGUGUCCUACGAACUAUGCCCCCUGGUUUAUUUAGACACCAUGGAUACUAGGGUUACACAAAGUCGGUUACAUCAAUAAAAGAACUAUGGCCCCCGGUAAAAAUAUUGUCUUUUCUACACAAUAUAAUAAUUGCAGAUGCACACAUAGAUGAACAUACACUCACCUAUUGCUUUUAUGCUUCAAAAGAUAAUCUGGUAAACACUCAAGCUCUCUCAAGAUGGCUUUUGAAUUGGAUGGGAAAGAGUAGAAAGCAAAAUGAGACUAGAUCUCAAAGGAUUGACAUGGAUGGUUGGAGUAGAAAGCCUUUCGAAAUCAGUAUAAGGAGGUGAAGUUCUCUCUGAAAACAUAUGAUGAGUGGAAUUUGCUUCGACUGGAUAGGUGGGGCAUAAAUAGGAGGGGUCAGAAAUCUGAUUGCUGCAAACUUUAUUACACAACUCGGAAGCCCCCACGUGAACAAAGAAUACAAAUUUCCGAUUGUUCUGAAGGUUCGACCAAAGAUCAUUCAGAGGCUUUGAGGGGUACACUUCAGCUGUGGCACACUCUCUAGUUGUCUUCUUAGAAAUUCCAAUUGGGUUGCUUCUGAAAUUUUGACGUGGCAACAAAAGAUUUCCCAAAUGUUUUGAUAAUUUUAAAUGGAGCAUUUGGAAGCUCUGAAUGAAAGAGUUAUGCAACAGCUAUGUGUGGUCAAAGGUUCGGCGAUUCCGACUAGAAGAGCUCGGAAGCUCCAAAGUGAAUGGAACUAGGUAGAUAUAGUGGAUGGAUCUUUGAAGGAAUUUGAGGGUUUUGAAGUUUGAUUCUAAGCACAUCUGAAAGAAAUUCUUCAGAACAUGCUCAUCACAUUUUGAUAGUACCAACAUGCCUAUGGACUCAAUGUGAUCUUGGACCACCAAAAUCAAAAUGAGGAGUCCUACUGCUUGCCAACACUUGUCUUGAUGCAAUUUGCAGGGGUCACCUUCUAUUUUGUUGUUACACGCACAAGUACCUUUUUAUAAAAUAAACUUGUUUGAACCAUUAGUUCAUUGAGAUAUGUUUUCAUUAAUUACCGAAAUCCACCAAUGAAAUUAGAUGCACUUUCAAAGUGUUGUUUAGGACAAUGCUAAUGAUAGUUUGUGUUUGAAUUUGACCCCUUCUUGCAAAUGGAAUUCAAAGAGCAUUUGCAAACUUUACUUCCAGACAAUCAAGAAAUCUCCCAACAACCAGCCAAGACAAAUUUUGUUCAUAGGUAAAAAAUCUUCUUAAGCAGGCAUAGGUAAAAAAUUCAACCUUCUCUUGGAGGAUAUUAAGGAAAGCUCUCCCCGCUGGGCUCAUAGUAGGCAUGUACAUAGUUCAUAUAAAUCAAACUUGUUGCGGGUGUAGCCAGCUUGAAGAUGAUAUGCUACUCUUCCCUAUACUCCCUUUGGUCCUUUUUACUCCACAUAUAAGAUUUGAUUGAAGUCGGACUUAGUAAAGUUUGACCAACUUUAUAGAAAAAAUGUCAACAUUCAUAAUACACAACCAAUAUCAUUAGAUGCACCAUAAAUUCAAUUUUUCACAUUGUUUAGCUUUAGUAUUGUAGAUGUUGAUAUUUUUUCAUAUAAAUAUAGUCGAAUUUUAUAAAGUUUGACUUCAGUCAAAUUUUAUAUGCGGAGUAAAAAGGUUCGGAGGGAGCAUGUUUUUUUCUAAAGCAACCUAUUUUUCUAGCCCUUGAUACUUAGGUCUGGUACUUUUGCAUUCAGUCAUGACAACAGAUGAAUCAUAAUUCAACAAUUACUCAUUUACUUUUUAUGAACCACCCCUAUAAUUAUGUGAAAAACUUGUUUACUUUUUUAUGGUGCCUUUGUAAGGCCGGAGAACGAUCAUUUUUUCUACAGGAAAAAAAUAUCUCCCCCCUAGGUACAUUAGAUGGAGAAUGCAAUCACUGCGUACACCACUUACUCUGAUGAGCAGGACCAGCCUCUUGAGAGAAAAAUUAGCUUCAAUGACUCUUAACAAUGCUCUGCCUUUCCAAUGUUGCUCUAUUUCUACAAAUCUUAUUGUGGGGCCAAAGAUCUUUUUGGACGCUUCAUAGAUGAGCUCCAAUGUCCAUGGAAGGUUGUAGUUUGCAGCAUUUAGAUUACGCAUUUAUAUUCGAAUCCUUGAUGAAGAAGUCUUACAUGGUAUAAUGAUCGAAGCCACAAUGAAUGCAGCUUUUAUCCGCUUGUGGUUGAAGGCAGGACAUUACAUCUAGUUGUAGUCAUUGCUGGAAACUCAACAUUUUGAGACCUACUUUUCUUAUGAACAACCUAUUUGUGAUCAAAAUUGUUGCCGCCAAAGAUAACAAUUCCGUUUCUGCUCGUUGGGACAUUGAGAAGCACGUUGUUGUGUUUUUCUACAACUUCACAUAACUCAACCCGUCAAUCUUUCGUAUCAAAAGUGAUCUCAAUAGAGCUGCGCACGACUAUGCUCAUCGGGUUCUAAACAGAGGUGUGAAACAUAUUUUUCAUGCAUUAAACUUGUUUAUUUUCAGCUGCAUUCCCAGGGUUUGUUUGCCCAAUAUUAUUAUUCACGGCAUAACUUGUACUUCAGCCAUGUUUAAAUGAAAUACGGCGCUUCACGCGCUCCCUCUUGCUAAAAAGAUAAACAUUAGUCACGGAACACAAAAUAGAAAAGUGUGAAACAAAAUGAUCAAUGUGCACAAGUAAAUGCCUGCACUGAGCUGAAUUAAAAAAAAGAAGUUCACAGAACUUGAAAAACAAACGGGAAGAAUAGGAAGAAAAAAUAAUCUUAUCUCAUCUUCUCCCUCACACACCUUCCCGCUCCAGGCUCUCCACGUGACCUCUCAGCUCGCGGUGAGCACCUCACAUCCCCGCGCGCGCACAGUCGCGCAGAGCCACUGCCCAGCUCCAGCCGCAUGUCUCUCCUCAGCUCCCCCACGCCGUUCGGCGCGGCCACCGCCGCCCGCCUUCGCCUCCCGCUCCCGGGCCGCCGCGCCGCGCUGCACGUGGCGCUCGCGCGCCGGACCGGCGUGUCGUCCCGCACGCAGCGGCGCCUCGAGGAGCGCGGCGGCAAGAAGCGCCGCGGCGGCGUCGAGANNNNNN